rnacentral:lncRNA from 1 species
ACUUUUUUUUUUUUUUUUUUUUUUGUGUUUGGGGGGGGGGGGGGGGGGGUGGUUUCUUUUAGGUUUGAUUUACCAUUUUUUCAUUAACAGAAAUAUAUUUUGAGGCUAUAAAAUCAUAUGUAAAAAAUCCAGAUGUUGAAAUUACAUGUAUUCAAACUUGUUUUUAUAUACAGUGAAUAACCAUAAGUAGCCUACCAAAUAAAAAAUAAUAAUAAUAAGCACACAAGUAAACAUUAAAAUUAAAUGGAUUUAAAUUAGCCAUAUAAGAGCUUUUUGUGUUUCCACUUUUUAUUACGUUAAUGCUGCGUUUGGAUUGGCCAUUUUUUAAAAAACAAGUUUUUUAAAUACAAUGCUAUAGUAAUACACAAUAAUUCAAAAAACCUCAUCCAUAUAAUAUAUCAAAUAUUUCAAAAAAUUUUUAUAGUAAAAAUUUUUCAUAUACACUGCUACAGUAAAAAUUUUCAAAAACACUCCAAAAAACAACUAAUUCAAAUGGAAAAUUUUCACUCUAUUGAGAAUUGGGAUUAACAUUAUAUGAGUUUUUAGUGAACAUGGCUUAUGAAAUUAUAUUUAAAUACUUUAGAGAGAAAGUAGGCAGGAGUUAACAAAAUGAACAAACAACAAUCCGUUCUUUUUACUCAUCAAAAGUAAUAAAUCUCACAACAAGCAUUUAAAUUUAACUUAUUGGUGCCUGUAAUCUUUGGUAAGUGAAAUAGGAAUACAAGACGAUUGACCGUACUUGAACUAAAGAUGAAAGGAUUCCUCAAUCAAUCAGGAGACAAGAAUCUUGGAUGACAUUUAAUUCUUUCUUAGAUUCCAACAUCCAGCUUUUAAGUUUUUCUUUUUCAUCCCUAAUGAAUAAAUAAUGAUUGCUAGUGUGGUUGCACAGGCUGUUGUUGAGGUUUCAGAAUCUACUGCUAUCAAAUACUACUAACUACUAACUACUAGUAGUAGUAGAGGAUUGAAUCAUCAGCUAUCCAACAAGUUGUUGAUAAAAAAGAGACGACUGGGAAUAAAUAAAUAAAUAAUACUUUUCAUGCAAUAUCUAAUACUCCAACCACUUACCAAGGUUUUCAUUCAAGCUUUUAACUUACAAAAAAAAAAAAAAGAGGAGCAGAUUGGAGGAUGUCUUGAUUAUUAUUGGCCGAAAGUGCCCAAGUCAGAGAGCACCUCUUUCAUUUUCUUUUGUUGAGAAGCUGAUGAGAUUGGGUUAUCCAGCAGGAUUGCCACCUUAGCCAGAAACUGAAAUCAUAGUGUAUUUAUUACUGACAUUUUGGUAUUCCGAGGUCAAGUCUCUCUCUCCUACAUCUCUGCCUCUCUCUCUCUCUCUCAUUUCUUUUUAGUAGUAGUAUUUGAUCGGUUGCGUUGCGUGUGGAAAAUCUGAACCCCACAGCCAAGAAAACCUCUACACUCAAAGCAAAUUAGUAUACUAUAGUAAGUAAUAAUAAUAGACCAUCCCAUUAUAUUCCCAUAUGCUUGUUCUGUUAGCCCUCCAAUCUUUGAAUUUUCUGUGGAAAAUCUGAACCCCACAGCCAAGAAAAACCUCUACACUCAAAGCAAAUUAGUAUACUAUAGUAAGUAAUAAUAAUAGACCAUCCCAUUAUAUUCCCAUAUGCUUGUUCUGUUAGCCCUCCAAUCUUUGAAUUUUCUAAACACUAGCGCUAUGUCUUUUAUUGGAAUGACGACUGGAGUUGCGAAAAGGCAGUUUCCAUUUGUUUAAUGGAAGCAUGCAAUUUCUGACAUUCUCAAUUUCUUGGAAACAAACCACCAACCCCCUACUCCCACCUCACCUCCUGCUCAAAGUGAAAUUCCCAAUUCAUGUGCUCAUGAAAGCAUCACAAAGACUAUCUAUCGAGCCAUCUUAUCUUCUCUUAUCUAAAACGGCAUCUUCGUUUAAAUGGUUUAUCAAAUUGCACGCUCCACAAGCAAAAUGCAGUACUCCACUAGCUUCCAAGACAAAUGGAAAUCUCCACCCUGCCCUGUAUUGCUGAUGAUCUUCUCUGCUUUUGCCCAGCUAAUGAAGUGGUUGGUUAUUUAGGAACCCACGAAAAAUUAUCUUCAUUGCACAAGCGUCACUCCAAUUUGAAGGAGCUGUUCAACCAAUUUCACUCCCUAAUGAUAUGAUCUGAUACGAAACUUGUCUGUUAGUUGUCAUGAAUAAGAGAAAAAUUGUGAUGCACUGAUCAUUUUAAUUGGCCCUUUGUUCCACCAACUCCAGCCUUAGAAUUAUGGAGCAUCUCCUUCUCCCAAGCAUCUGUGGGCACGUUACACUUUCUUGGAGGGCAUUCCAACCAAUGCAUUGAUAAAACUCUCAGACGAAUAAAGGAAAAAAAAGCAUUUAGUAGAGGUCACCAAUCUCCCAAAAGGAAAUCGAAGGAAGGGUUGUGAAGAUGAUGAAAGAAUGAGUGUUCAUCAUCGCCUCAAACCUCUUCUUUUCCUUUCCGACCUCUUAAACGAGAAGAGCAACAAAUUUCCUCUUUUCAUAAUUUCUGCCCUCUUCAUUUUCUUCGCUAAGAUCGUUCCCUAGCAACUUCAUUUUUUUUCUUAUCCUAUUGAGCAGGUGAUGGACAAUCUAAAACAGUGGGAGCAAAAAGAAAUGAUAAAUUCCAAUCUAAAAGCCUUGUACCGUAAAAGGAAAAAGACUUCAACUUCCAAUAAUCAAUUGAAUACCUAAUGAAAAUGUCAAAACAUUCGUUCUGUUUAUACUUAGUCUAAAACAAUCGUAUCAGUCCACAGUAGCAUAAGAAGAAAAUACAUCCCUGGAAGUUUUACAAGGAGCGGGCAGAGGAUGUAUGAUCUGCUCAAACACUUCUGAGAGCCAAUCGCCCCAACUCUUUCAGAUGGAGGCAAUUUUAUUGCCCAGAACAAUUGGUCUUAUUCAUUUAGCCAGUCCCGUUGUUUUACAAAUGGGACAUAAAUUCUUGUGUGUAAGCCAUUGUUUAAUACACUCGGCAUGAAAAUCAUGCCCGCAGUCCAGAGAACCAAGAUCUUCACCAUCACCAUAUUCUUCCUGCAAAUAAUAAGGUAGGUAGAACUUAAGGCCCCGCUUAUAAGAGCCAUAAAACUGCCAAAUCAACAGCAAAAGCAAAAAUCGUAUCUUGCAGAAACCCAGAAUGCAAAGACUUGGAUGGUUUACCUGACAUACACAGCACGGCUCUGUUUCAACCUCAACUGUUUUAUUGCUUACAUACUUCCGUUGUUUCAACUGUUUCAAAAUGGUUUCUUCACUCAAACCAGUGCUCACAUUUCCAAUACGCUCUUCUAGUGCCAAUAAUUCCUGUAACGGUGCAGGAAAUGAAGUUUUAAGAAUGUGUAGCACAAAGCUCAUGAUACAAGAUCAAGAAAUUACUGCCUAGGUCACCUCAUAUGACAUGUUAUCAACAUCAAGCCGCAUAUCCCUAUGGCGAUCAUGAAAAUCAGCCAUCCCGAAAAAGACUGAUUGGUCAAGAACCAUGACAUCCUGUCACAAACAAAAACAUUCAUCAAAUAACUAAAAACAAUACGUUGAGCUUCUCACAAUCUACUGCCCAAAAACUAGACAAGACAAAAACUAGCUUGCCUUGCCUUGCCUGUGCCACAAAAAGGAGGACGAAGCAGGAGUACUAUUCUCAUGACACCUCACCCUUUUAUACAAGGUAUCAGUCGCCUUCUAAAAGCUGAUGCAAAUUAUUUUUUGAUCUAUCAAGAGUAACAUUUUGAAGUAUCAAAAUAUCACCUGUUAGUGUGCAUCUAAAGGAGUGCGCGCAAUCUUCCGAAUUUUUUGCUAUCAAAUAUCUAAGUUAUUGUCCUGUGCUAUUUUUUGCACCAACUACAAAGGUGAUUUCUAUCCAAUUAAACAUUCAAUGUAGCCUGCAAUUUGCUGUCUUCCACAGGACAGAGAAUGAAUACUUAAUCAACCAGAGUAUCACUACAAAAUGCUGGAUAAUGUAGGCAAAACUUGUCUAUUUAUACCUAGAAAAUUAUCGUAGCAAUGUCAAAAUACAAAAGCUUUCAAUUAAUGUCAAAAUCUAACCUCAAAUCGCAAGCCCUCUCCUCCCCUGCGCAUGAGAUCCAAGACAUUGCGUAUCUGCUAAUUAGCCAAAAAGAAAACACGAUUAUUGACAUUUAUAUGACGAUAUGCCAAAAAACAUAAAGAAAUCUUCAUCAUGUUUGAAUGAUUCAGCUGCAACGAAGUGCCUUAAAGGCAAGAGUGCUAUCUGGAGAUACGAUCACAACAUUAAGUGCCAAGAUGAAAUUCAAUAGAUAACUUGCAGAAAAGAAAAAAAUCAUAUCAGAGUUGUUAACCAUAGUUUUAAAAUAGGACAUUUAACAGACUUAAAUGAUAUACUAAUAAACUUCAGGAAAAAGAUGGCUAACAAUUAAGAAUAUUGGAAAACAAACGGGAAAAGAAAACAACGAAAAAGUAAAGCAACAUGAUGUACCUCAGACAUUAGCCUGUUUCUUCCUUCACUGGCAGCAGCCAAAUUUCUUAAUGAAUAAGAUCCAAAAGCAGUAUCAAGGUGUCUCUCCAACAAUAUUGCUGACCUUGAACUUGCUGCAUGGCGACCCUGACUACCAGAUCCAGAUGAAAGUGGCAUGUCUUGGAGGACGAGGGACCUGUCCGCAGUGAAGGAUAAUUGCUGCUGUGACCUCCAGAGUCGCUAUCAGCUGAAGAUGACGAAGAUCUGCGAACGAAUUCUGAUAGUCUCCUUGGAUACUGAGAAGGAUUCCGAUGGGGUGUCCAAGUAGGGGUAGAUGAGUGGACAACUGCACUAGAGCCAGUGCGGGAAGUUGAUGCAGCGUUUCCAGGAUUACUGACACUUCCGCCAGCUAAACUCCAAUUAGGAGGGUUUUGUGAUGAAUUUCGUAUCUCCGUUGGUGGUACAAACAUGGGAUGUUCUGAAAUGUGCCUUGCCACACUGGAUGAACUAGACUCCUCAUAUGGUACAGCAUCUAUAUCUCCAGAAAUGGCAAAACUAGAUGAGCUUCCAGUUCUUGAGCUAGAUGCUCCAUUCCACCUGGAAUGUGGGUUUCGACGCACAGAUGACACAUGCACUACAACUGACUGACCUUGAGAACUUCCACUGUCGGUCGUAGGUGCAGGUCUCACAUCCAAAGAAUUAUUACGGGGGAGCAACCUAAAUGAAUGCUGAGCGGAUGAACUAUUAGGAUUUCCAACAUCAGUCUCUGUGGAGACUAUAUUAUUGCGUGAAGAAUCUUGUUGAUGUGAGGCAUUUAUCCUCAAGCGAAAAUUUCUGCGGGAACUCUCUGCAGUUCUUGAAGCAGUUAAUGGAGGAUGACUAUCAGAAGAUGCUCGUCCAACACUUAAUCCGAGUCUCGGGAUUACCUGCUCUGGUAGAUUGACCGUUGAGUUGUUUUCUGAAGGGGCAGCUAUACCUGUGCUGCUGGAUGCAUUAUGCCUAGCUGGUACUGAAUGCCAUAGAUUGCUCUCAGCAUGUUGAACCAAGUUUGAACUUCCACUCCCAGAAGAUUGUCCAGCAUUUCCUUCCAGUGUUUUUCUUUUACACGAAAACCUUCGACCAUCCAAUGAACAGCCAGGCCUCCCAUCAGCUUCCUCCACCAAAAAUCCACCAGUUCCAGAAGAAUCCCAAAAGGAUUGGAAGAAUUACUAGCAGAUGCAUCCGCUCAUUCACUGAUUCACUAGCUUUGAACGCAUUUUGACAUUCCAAAACUUGGCAAUCAUCAUCCUCAUCUACAAUAAUAUCUGAGUUCAUAUUCAGAUCCUGCCGAAUGGAUUCAGAGCCUGAAUUUUGCAUAAAGAAAGUCCCACUUGCACUUCAUUGCUGUGCAUAUUUACACCAACAUUAUUUAAUGAAAGAAUAUUAGAGGGCCCAUAUUGCUGUCCUUCUGCGCCAAGAGCUGCACCAGCACAAACAUUUAUUGGAGAUGACCACCCAUGUUCGUUUUUCCGAUCAGUUUCACUAACCUCGCCUUGUUCCCCUCUAGAACUGCUUUCACCGAAAUCCCAUCCACUUAAAUUCUGCCCUGGUUGGUUCACUGCAUUUAGAAAUCCAACACUUGUGUCUGUCGGCGACAUCAAAUAAUCAGGUAUCCUGUUUUGUGACGAAUUCCUUAUGCUAUUCCAGUGCACCUGCUGGUCUAAGCUAGUAUCGCUUGAUGUUGAUCCAUGAUCAAUGCCUAAAACUUCAGGUAAGGAACCAACAGCACUCCUUUGCCCUUGCAUUAGGGCUGAAUGUGCUUCUUCAAGAUUUCUGAACAGCUCCAAAAAAUGCUUACGCAAACAGAGCUCAGAAAGCAGUUCUUCAGGUAAUCUGAGAUUGUCAGUAAACAAAUUCACAUGAUUAUGAUUUGGCCAUAAAAGAGAAGCCAAAGAUAAGAGAUAAUACAACAGCAGAACUGGUAUUGCAGAAUGACGUUAAAUACAAAGUCUUUCAGUGCCACCACAAAAAUGUAUGCAUCUAACCACUAAGAUGCUUUUGAAAAAUUAUGUACUAAAUGUGGUUUGUUACAGACCUUAACUGCCAGCAUUCUAUGACCAUGCAGUCUUACCAUCAGCAUUCAGAUUACAGAACACAAAAUCAGAAUGCCAGCCUCACCAUUUCAGUAUUUGUUGCAGAACACUGACAGUGAAACAUGCCGGUGAAGGUUUCAUGCAUGCCAGCCAAAUGUUCUAACUUUCAUGACAUAAAAACUUUACCGCACCUAAAAAGCAAUGCAGGCAUGCAUUGUUCAUUGGCCUCGAGCAAAGCAUUGAGAUAUCUAGGUAUGUGCUAAAGGUUUGUUAGUCUGCUAACAACAGUAAGGUUGAUUACAACCAAAACUCUUGAAUGCAAGUUGCAAAUAUAUCAUUCUUCCAUCAUCCCAACAACUUGAAGCAAAAAAAUGAGGAUACAAACUUAGCUAACCUAGCAACAACUUAAAGCACGAAUAUGAAUUUACAAGCUUUUUGUUCUGAUAUCCCAAUCUUUACACAAAAGAGAAGACACAACGAAGAAUCACCAACCAUAAAAUGACAUUGCACUAAAGCGUUACUUAACAAUAUGAUCACACCCGAUGUGUAAAUAGACGAAGAAAUUAAUAAAAGCAAACUGCAUCAAAAAUAGAUUUUUUGUAGAUAAUAAAACUAGGAAGAUUCUAUUAUUAUUUUUCUUGGAAAAGCCUUAAAAUCAUUAAUCAAAAUGGAUUGGUCAGAGAAGAAAACCACCCAGAAUCAGCUCUCAAUCCAACCAUCAAUGAGUCAAGUACCAAAAGUCAUAACUUUUUUUUUUCAAAAUUAUAGGCAUUUGCUCUGAACAAGAAGUAUUUGGAAACAAGAAAGAUGCAAGGAAAUGAAACGAGGAAAAAAAACUAGAAAAUAAUAAAAAUUAUCAAAAAGUCAAGAAUCAAUAGAGGAGGAUGAACCAAAAAUGGUAUGAUUCUAUUACCUAGACCAAAAAAGAAUAGCAGCCCAGAACGAACAGCAACCAAGACUGGAUUUUUAUCAGACAAACAGCAGCAGAUUAAGCUGUAGAUCUACAGUCAAGACCUGAAAUGCAAAAUAACCGCCAGAAAUCAGCGCUGUCAAACAAAAAUAACAAAAAAAAAAACAAUCUUUCCAUCCAAAUUUAAGAUUCUUUUUCCUCUAUCGGCCACAAAGAAAACAAGAUAUUAAAAGAAAAAAAGCCCAAAACAGACAGACCUCACUGCUGAACAAUCUGUGAUAGAUGAAGAGAUACAGAUGGAGAAAAGGAGAGAGAUAAGAAUAAAGAGAAAAGGUUUUGUAAGAAGAAGAUGAGGAAGAAAUGGUGGUUAUGGGUGUGAAAGAGGAUGGAAGAGAGAUGGGUGUGCUAUUAGCAUUUAGCAUUGGGGGGGUAGAAUAAUGAGGCUGAUUAAAGCCAGACCAACAGUAAUCCUUUGCUAUUUCAGUCAAUUAUGCAUUUUUGACAUUUCAGAAAAUUAAAAAGUCAUGUUAAUCACGAUCAGAAGCAACUGAAUUGAAUGCAAGAAAUGUCAAGGAUGGAAAAUGAAAUGGGACAUGAGAAAGAAAAUACUACUAAUAGAAAUCGGUAUUCGGUAAGGCAGUGGCAGUAAUAGUAGCGGUAGAAAACAAAACCAAAAACUGAAAAGAAAAGAAAAGAAGAAAAAGGAGAGGAGUUGUCAUGUUCAUGCAUAUGUGGGUUAAAAGGCCGCUUACCAAAUGGCUUUUUUUCCUCAUGUCUGAUGUCUCCCCUCUCUUUUUCUAUUGCCCUUAAACGUUAAUCGCUGUCUUGAAAUUUAAAGCUCUUCUUUCAAGGAAGGGGUUGGAGGGCUGGACGCCUAAAGCCUAAAGGGCAUAGUACGAGUACUAUAGUUUAAUAAGAGCAGUAAAUAUUUUGGUUGAAUGUUGAAAUGUUUUUCUUUUUUGGUUGGUCUUUUCUGUCAACUCAACUGUGUCUCCCCAAUGCAUCUCCACGCCGAGCAGCUGGCCCCUGUUUGGCAUCUCAUAAUCACAUGUCCGUCUUUGCACUUCGUUUCUUUAAAUUUAAAGGCCUAAUGAACCUGCUUCUUGGUUUCACACUUGUGGGCUGUGGCAGUCUUUUUUUCUUUUUUCUCUCUCUUUUCUCUUGGGAGGUGUUUUUGUGCUGGUGGGAGUGUUGGGGGGGGGGGGGGGCGGGAGGAGUGGUUUUUUUUCUUCUUCUUCUUUUUUUUUUUUUUGUUCUUUAAAAAUAGUAGUUUUGGUGAAACUAGUGGAAUCCUAUUAUUAUGUUACCAUACUUGUUUCAUAGUUUUUUAAUUGUUCAUUUUAAUGCUGAAUUAAUUCCUGCUCUGCAAUAAUUAAAAGAUAAGAAAUGUAUAAACAACGAGGAUACAAAUUUUUAGUCAAUUAGACGUGAGAAUCAGCAAUCUUUUCCUUUUUAAUGUACGCACAAAAUGUUAAUGGGCGAUAUUAUCGAAAGCAACUAAUCGUAUCAGAAAUAUAUUAAUUCAUCCCGUAGGUAGGUGUAAGUAAGAAAUUUGAAUUUUUUUUUUUUUUUUUGAGCAGGAGAUUUUGAACUCUGAACAAGCUUUGAUUGAGUUGAGUUGAAUCAAACAAAUACGAGAUGGAGGUCUCCUUUUUCCCUUUCAAAUUGCAGUAUUGGAACAAUCAAACCAAUAGUAGUAUUAGGAAACGGCUGGGUGCUCCAAUGACCCCAAGAGGAAAACGAAAGAAUGGAAUGCGUCUCCAAUUAGCUCAUUCAAAUUUGUCCAUUUUAUUCAAAACACGUGAAAAGCAUGGCAAACUAGUAGUAUCAAUUUAACACAACUAUACAGCUUCUUUUCUCCAGCACUUUAACGAAAAAUUAGCGUACAUGAAUACAGGGUGCAUACCAUGAUUUGUGGGGUAUUUUCCAUGUUAUUCAUUUAUUUUAGCACACAUACAUCCUAGCAAGUACUCAAAAUUUAUUUUUCUUUUUAUUCAUAAGCGUCAGCUUAUCAAUUAUUAGUAAUUAAAUUAGUCUUAAGGACACAUAAAAGCCCAAAAGGAAAAGAACAAAGAGAAGGAAAGAAAAGUGGUGUAAACAGAAGGAUUUGGUCACAGCAAAAAUUGUCUCAUUACAAAAAAGAUAGAUACCUGCAAGUACGUAUAUAAAUGGUCCAACUUUGUUUUAAUAAUUAAUUUUAAAAUUAAUCCUGAAUGAAUGACGUCUACGUAACAUUUAAAUUUAAAAUUUAACUUUUACGUAUAUACAUAUAUAGUAAAUUCAAUGCUGAUAACGUACAUAUAGUCGUCGGUAAGUAAAUAUGUAUAAGAUUUUCUCUUCAUUUUGACCCGUAAGUAAGUAGGCCGUAAGGCAGCUCCUAUAAUCUCACCAUACCACGCAAGGGGCGCAUAAACAUACACAGCUGCUGGGCACGGCAGCAACGUCGCAUCAUCCAAGUCGAGUGGGGCUCUUUAUUCUUCUUCCAAUUCCAAGUCUUUGGUUCUAUAAAUAUGCUCAUCCUCCUUUCCUUCUUUCCUUUCUCUCUCACACUCACCGCCUCACCUCUCUAGUCUUUGAUUUCUUUCUUCUUUCAAUCAAAUUCAAAGGUGGGCUUGCUUUGCUUUGCCUUUUUCCUUUGUGUUUUGUAUUGUUGGGUUUAGGUCACAAGUCACGAGACAGAAAAGCAUAUUAGCAUUUGCCCAUUAGCAAUUGGCAAUUAGCAAGCUUCCUAUCUUUUUCCAAAUGGUCUACUCAAACCACCAUUGCCUAAUAAAUAAAAAUAUAUGUGUUACAUAAUUACAAGAGGAUAAGUGUGAUUCCAUUCCCUGCCAGAAGAAGGAUAAGAGUCUAUAAUGUGAUGAAAUUUCCCGUGAGAUUAUAUGCUUGUGAGGUCAGACAAGGCUGUUAGCUUAGUGUUGAAUAACUUGUACAUGACAAAUUUUGAGGUGCCGACAUGCGCCCAACCAUAUCAAGCUAUAGGUAUCAUCUCAUUUGGUGGCACAUCCUAACGUCCAUCACUCUCUUUAUCUCUACAUAAUUUUCAUUAUUUUCUGGGUCAAAACACUACUCUACGAGUCUAUGGCCUAUGCAAAACAUCAAAAUCUACUGAUUAAUCCCAUCAACAAUCCUCCAUUUUUUUUUGCAUAAUAAUACUCUUCCUACCAUACAUUUUAUGUUGUUCAUGUAUGUGUACAGAUUGCAUUUGUUGUGUCUUAAAGCAAAGAAAAUCUUACUGCUUACCUAUUACCUUACGGCAAUAAAUACAAGACAAAAACUUUUCAUUUCGCUCCGUUUUCAUUGGGCAAAAGCAGUUUCCACUCAAGAAUAGGGUAAGAAUGAUGAUACACGCCUCUAUUCUAUAUAUUUCUACGGGAAAGGAAAAAAAAAAAACACACACACACACACACACACAGAGUGGAGCAUCUGUCUAUUCUAUGGGUCAUUAAGCAAGAGUUGGACUUUUUUGUGUACACUGUGCUGUAGGAGGAGUCAUAAAAUCAAAGGGGUCUGUGUUGGUCUACAAUCAUGGGACCCAAUCCUUCUAUCAAUUUCUCCUGUCUGAAAGGUAGGUGGUGCGGUGGCUCAAUUUAAUCGUGAUGGCAGAAGCUUUAUGAGUAAUGACCCUCAGAAUUUUGGGUCUACAAUGACACAAGAAUUGGAAUGACCCACCCAAUUUUACGUGUGUAAAAGCAUACGGGUUUGGUUUGGGGUGGGGUGGGGUGGGGCAAUAAUAAUAUCGCUGCUCAAAACCGAAGGCAGUGAUGAUGGAAUUGCAUAUUUCACACAGCUGCGGGUUAUGCUUAUCGACCGGCCAAAAAAAUGGGUAACAGAUCAGAUUUUGGUGUCCAAGAAUAAUAAUCAUAACAAUAAUGACUUGCGGAAAGAUGACAAAAAAAACCCCUGAAGGAAUCAUCAGUGUCUUAUAGCUACCACCGCGACAUAUUAUGACAACAUGUUCAUCUCACUCCUUGGAAGGGGCCACUUUUUUAUGGUUUUAAUAAGCGCUAAAAGUGUGAUUAUGUGAUGGUUUUCUAUAGAUCAUCUGCUGCAGGCGACACGUUCAUUUGCCUACCUCUCUCUUUUUUUGCUUUUUUGGUUUUUUUCCACCCAAGAUGGGGAUAUGAUAUGUGGUAACACGAUCAAGAAACAUACUCCACAAGGCAAAGGGUAUGAACUCCUGAAGAGUCUUUUGAGAAUUCAAGAGGAGGAGAAAAGGACAGAAAAGAGGAUGACGAAUGAAGGGAUGCGCCAUUUAUUGCUUGUAGGUGCAGCAUGCAUUGUGAAAUGAAAGGAAAUGUUACAGCAACAUCAAUAAUGAUGCAGUCACUAGCGGAUCAUGCAAAGGCCAAGGCCGCUCCGUAAGCCUCAUUUCCUGUUGUUUUUGCUUGUGAUUUGCAGGAGGACAAAUGAUUGUUUUGACCGUGCUUUAUGGAAAAACAAAAUAAAGAUCAAAAGAUGGCACACAGUAAGAAACAACACCAGAAAGGGGUGGACGCAAAAAAAGCCAAGCCAAGUACUUACAACUUGGUAAGAGAUAAAGAGACCCAAAACAUAAAGCAGGCAGAACAGAAAAGAAAUGGCGCCUCACAUGAUCCUUGGGUCAUGGAAUUCAAGCUCGCUCCUUUCCGCUCCACAGACAAAAUACUAAAACAGUAGCAAGUAUAUCAUGUUUUCCUGCGUCUUUUUUAUAGAUUCCAAGUCUUGAGCCAAGCCUCUCAUCAGCCAGUCACUAAGUGAAACCGAAAUGCUGGCUCACUCUUUAUCAUCAUGAGAGAGACAACUAGUGGCUGCCCUGCUGCAGGUCUCCUAAGGAAAGGUGGCAAUACUAUCUUGAUCUGCAUCAAUUUCCCUGUUCAAGUAACAACCUGAGUAAAAUCCUAAGCAAGUUAUCUGACAUCCAAGCCACGUCCUGGAUCACGAAAGAUGGCCUCAGACUGUCACAAGUUUUGACAAUAACAACAAUACAAGCAUCAUUAGCCAUGACAACUACAUCAUCUCUCAGGCUAACGUACAAAAAUUCAAGCUUUCCCUUUGAACUUGCUGAUGUUAUCUUAGCGAUUAAUUGGUGUGUGCAUCCUUUCAACUAUCCUAUUUACGGCAUCACGAGACAUCACUAGAGUGUCGUGCAACAAAAUGCUAUAGACAUUCAAUCCCUGCAAAAACCAAAAGUCAAAAAAAAAAAAAAAUCAGAACCAGACUAAGUGCUGGAGAAGAAUCACCUCGAAUAGAAUCCAAAACAGCCUGUCACUACUGAAACAGGGCGGCAGAUUAUCAAGGAAAAAUACAAUUUAUUUCUACAUAAAUUACCAUCCACAUUUUUGGUAGACAUUUGAACUCUACUGAAACCAUGAAAUGGCUAAUGGUUGUUCAUUAAUAACAUAACGGGAAAAAUAAUCUAAAUCUUCUUGAAAAGGAAUCAGUAUUUGAAAACUCAUUGAAAGGUUAUGGCAAAGAUAAUUAUAAAAGCGUGAUUGAUGAGUAAUUCCAUAGUUCAUCUGAAAUUUUAAAAAUUUGAUAAAUUGCAGUUCAUCUUUCAGAUGUGAAUGUCAGCAGGAAUUACAUCCAACAACAAACUCACGAGGGACAAAUCAAAACUAAGUUGAUACUUACAAUUGAAGGAAGAACAUUGACAUAAUGUAUAUUUUGGGUAGCAAGCUUCAGCUUUUCGUUAAUUGCAUCUCCAUCCACCAGCAGAAGUUUCUUGGUAUCCACCAUUAGAUUAUAAUAGCUGACAAUAUUUUUGUCUUAUGUGAAGGGAUCUCUAAAUCCUCAAAAACCAUAAGCUGUGGAUAAAGAACCAUACGAUGUCAAAACUAAUAUAAUUAGAUGAAUGGGUGAACAUAAAGAGCAUAAGCUGGAAACUAUUCCUCAUCCUAAAAGAAAUGAUAAAUGUUAUCAUUUCCAUGGGAGAGGGAGGUAGAAAGGCCAAAACAACACUGGAUAAAUGUAGCCACACUAGAACAGAAGUACAAGCUUUAUAAUAGAAGAUAAAUCUCUUAAAAAAUAUAAAAUCUUCAAAUGAAAGAGACUUAAAUCCUCAAGGGCUUCCAGGUUAAUAGUUAAUUAAAAGUAGAAAUGACAAUUUUCCAGACUCCCAAAAUUCGCAAUACUCUACAAAUUCAGUCAAAUACAACUAUCUACCUUAUCUAACAUAUCUCGAGGUAUCAGUGCUCAGAAAGGAAGGCUAGUGUGUGUGCUAACUUAAUCCAUGAGGAAAGCCUCAAUAAGGUUUUUAGCAGGUUAGUGCUGUUGUAUAUCCUAGUAGUUACUUCACAAUUGCAACGGAAUUGCUGUUUAACAGAUGAAAAUACUUAUAUGGCAACUUGAGGGAUAAACAUCAUCGGUAAACAAGUCCAAUAAUGCAAUCAGAACAGAAUAAAGUACCAACAAUUAAUAUGAUAAAGAAGCUCUAUUUUUCACUAUUAAUGUUGGUGUACUCCUAAUUCUAGCCGGAACUCUAUCCUAGAAAUCAAAGGUGUUACAAGAUACAAAUCAUCCAGUUAUGGCCAAAAUAUUUAUGCACUACAAUGAAAGAAAAUUAUAAAGAGGCAUAUAAAAUUAUCCAGAUAGUCUAAAGCAUGAAGCGAUAGGCUUUGCUCUGAAAGACUGGGGGUUUCUUUUUUAAAAAAAAUGGACAAAGGGUUCUUUUUUCCCCAGACAAUUAAAUCAUCAUCCAGACCAAGAAAAACUUAUGGCAGGACACCACGAGCAUAAGAAUAAAUCAAAUAAAUAAAGGGAAACUAGGACUGAAGUAACUUUUGGCUACAUAGGGUCCAGGACAAAAUUUUUGCCCAUUGUUCUAAGACAACCCAACCAAAUUCUAGAUAAGAAAAACAAGGAGGAAAUUAUAUAAGACAAAGUACGCUUUCAAAAACUCGCCUUUCCUUCUGCUGCUCUAGCUGACAAUGCAAUCUUUAGCCCCAGUCGACGGACCUUCUUAUUCAGCUUGAUAGCAUGACUUCGUGGUUUGGGACCAUGCAUAGUUGCACCACCCCUGAACUGUUAUUCAGCAAGCAAAUCCAUAGUAACCAUUCAGAGUCAUACAAAAAGCACCAUCUAUACAGAAAUAUAAGACAGCGGUACAUCACCUGAGGACCUCGCAGUGUUCCAUGUCUCGCUCGACCAGUACCCUUCUGUCGCCAUGGUUUUCUACCAGUUCCACUGACCUCGCUAAUGGUUUUGGUUGAAUGAGUUCCCUGACAAAAACUCACUGCUCUAAGAAAAUUUCACAAUAAUAAAUUAUUCUCCAGCUUAAAGCUCAUUAAGAAACUAUUAAUAUACACCGAGCACGAAAUAUCCUCCACUGCAAGAACUAAAACUUCUUCUUAUAUGCAAAUAACAAUUAAAAAUGUUGAAGAUAACAAGAUACUAGAUGCCAAAAGUUAAGAAAGUUUAAAAAACUGCAGAAGGUUAUAUUGACCUCACUCACUCAGUGGCAUGACAUUAAUAGAUUUGCUAUUCUUAACUCAAUUGUUUAAGAGGAGGAUACAAGGUACAAUAUUGGCUCGUGAAACAUUAAGACAUGUUAUCCUGUCAAUUUAUCAUACUUCCAAGUAAAGAAAGAUCAUCCUACCUGCUGUCGUUUUGCAAGCUGCCACCUUACAACACGAUGGACAAUAUCUUUCCUAAUUGGAACAUCAAAAACAUCGCCAGCCAAAACCAUCAAGCCUUUAUCUUCAUUGGAAAAGUUUGUGACCGGAAUCACCAGGUCCUGACAAAGUCCUAAGAAAUCACAAAUAAUCAACACAGUAAAGAAGUGAUGUUUCGCUAGUUGAACACAAAGUAGCAAUAUGCCAGUCUAUAAGAAAUUUUACCUUCAUCGGAUGAGACAGAGAAUAUAUAACAAAUCAAAACCAAAAGUAAACUUCAUUUGGUAGGGCCAACUCAAUCUAUAACCUUCCCAGAAACAGAAAGUAAAUCUCCUAGAUAAACUAAAACAUAUCCUCAUGUAAACUGAAAAUCCACUACAAACUCUUAUUAUUUGCAGCCAGAAGCCUUUAAAAAACUUGAAAAUUCUGGAUUUAAGAUACAAACCUAAUAAGAGAAAUUUGUAUCACUCUCUUCAAUACAUUGUGUCAUACCUACCUUGUCAUACAUCACUAUAAACUCAAUCAUAUCGUUAUAAACCAAAUGCAACGAAAUUCUUAGAGUCAAGCCUAAGGUGUGCAAUCAUCUAAUGCAAUUCAAACUGCAUUAAUUGGACACUGUUUCAAUUCAUUCCUCACAGAAAAUUUGACUUAUCCAUCGAUUCAUGAGCUAGAUUUUAAAAAAAAAAGUGUAGAAAAAGAAAGUUUAAUACAGUAAAAUUUUCCAAAAAAAUGGAGCAUAAUGAAGCAUGCUAAUCUUUCCAGAACGUAUCUAAAGAAAAAGCAAAAAAUAAAAAGCAAGUAUUAGAAGUCAUACCAACUGUGCGCUCAGGGGGGAAAACCCGUUUCCUGGACAACAAAUCUGAGGGAAAUGCAUCUUCACAUGAUCCAGGAGUUAAGAUAGAAGUUGAAAACCCUCGACAAGCAGCGAUAAGUAACUCAUUCUGCAGUCAAAAACCAGAAACAAGAAGAAAGCUAAUGAAUAUGAUGCGACCAACAAAAUGUGCUACCAUCUUCUUACAAAAGAUUCAUUUUUGCGGAAAACAAAUGAUAAAAAACAAGGGCACAACCACGGAAGACAAAUUUCAAAUCCUAACUAAUUUCUUGCAAGAUCAGUAUAAGCAAAUUGUGAUAACUAAUCCAGUUACCUUUUGAAGAGCAGAUAAUUCAACAGAAAACACACUGUGCCUAACAGCCCGCUGACAGCUCAAGCCUGCAAUAAAAAUUUCCCCCAGAAUAAUAAUAAAGAGUCAGAUUUUAGUCAAGUUAUUCAGGAGAACAAAAAGAGCAUGAAGAUAACAUACCACUAGAAAAACCAAGUGCCGAAGAAAAUGCACCAUUCCAAGAACGAAAAGCCCUUCUUGAAAUCCAAAGUGCCAUGCUCCAAAAUGAUAAACUCUCGAAUCUAAGAACUCUUUAUCCUUUUAAUUUGAAGGGUUGUUUCUGGUCCAGCUAAACGGAAACCAUCCUGGGAAAAUUUAUUGAUUCACCUGAAAGUUCAUAUUUUUAUCAAUGGAUGAUUACCAGAGUAACAGAUAACAGAAGAAAAAUUAGAACACAGAGCCCGAGAUAUCAUAAAAUUUCCCCCCAUUUGCAUUGCUAGGCAGCUGAGGGAGGGGGUUGUUGGCGGAAGCAUACCAGCAAAGUGACUGAGAAAGGCGAAUUGAUGAAGGGUUCCGAUGGCACAGCCCCGAGACUCAAGUAGAGUAAGAAGAAGAAGAAGAGAAGCAGCUACUGAAGAAGAAACCCUUUCAUAAACCCUUUGCCAUGGUAACUAUUUCUGUGUUUUGGGGAGAAUUGUUGUCCGGGUCGGAGUUAAAUGAAUUUGGUUUGCACGUCCUUCGGAAAGAAAUGCGGUCUAUCAGUCUAUGGUCUAAGCUAAAAAGUUUUGUGGGCUUUUCUCUCCCACAGUUAUAAGGAAUUUCAGCCUAUUUGUUUCUUAGCCUGCAUUUUAAUGUCUUGACUUUAUCAGCAUACUUGUAUCAUUGCCCACAUUCAUUUUCUGAUUUUGAACUUUACUAGUCUUUCGUCCAAAAAAAAAAAAUUUACUAGUCAAUUGCCAAUGAUUUUAAAACCCACCGGUAUAAGUUUUACACAAUUUCAUCGGCUGGUCAUGUCCGGAUCCAUUUUAAAAAAGAAAAGUAAAAAAAAAAAAAAAAAAACAGAGUAAAAUAGCUUCACGAAACUCAGGUGAAAAGUUGAAGAGAUAUUCGUCGAUAUUAAUUAUUUUGGGUUGCUUGUCAAAAAUUAAUAACACUCUGUAGAUGGGAAAAUAGUGGAGCAUUUUGAUGACGACUCGUUGGUGUACAGGUAAAACGACCCAAUCAAACUCCUUCCUUUUUUGCUGGAAACAUGAUAUGAAAAUACGAAUGAACAUUAAAAUCGACUAUUUAUGCGGGGUCCUAAAUGCUGCUCCAUCUUCUCAAGCGGCAGCAGUUAACCGCUACCAUCCCAACAAGCACAUAUAUACUAAUAAGUUGAUGAUAAAAAUCCUAGUAAAAGAGACCUUCAUAUCCAGAAAAAACUAGACUUAUUUUAAUUGGAUCUAGUGAUCUGCUAUUAUACAUCAGCACAGCGCUUCAAUUCAUACUUCUUCACAUUCUUGACACUGAGAAUGACCGAUGCAGUGACCAGCUCACACACCUCAUUCAAUUGACUCCGUUGACCUUCCCAUCUUUGCACAGCUUUCUCACCAUCUUUAGCCACCUCCACCCGGGCCAGUGCCUGCUGUAAAUUGAUAUUUGAGGAUCUGCAGGUUCAAUACUAAAAACCAUUACCAGCCUUUCAUCAAGGAUGAGAUGUAGGAAAAGCAAGACAAGCAUCCACAACCACCUUAUGAAACAUGGUUUCCUGGCCUUCACAUGAUCAUUAAUCCACAAUUGAGGUAAAUCUCAUUACUGGCAGUACUCCCCUCCACCUUUUCGCAUUUUCUUCAUUCCAUAAUCCAUAUUGAACAACUCAGUUUCUAACUCAUUGUGAUAUCAGUUCUAUCAAUAUGUGUAAUUCAUAUCUCCUAGAGAAAAUUAGUUCAUAACAUUACUUCCUGAGGAAGUAAUCUGAGCAUCAAGACUCCAACUGAGGAAAAUCUGCAGGACAUCGGAGAUGUCUGCCUCUUGUAUCUUUUCAAACACAAUAAUGUUACCACUCCUAAAGUUAAUCAGUCGACACCCGGAAGCGAGCAUAGAAGGUCAUCGACCUCUAUAUAAUCUCCUUCUAGAAUGGUUUUCAAGUCCUGCACAGCCAAAUCAUACAAAUCAUCAGGAAGGAAGUAAUGAUUGAUCCAUGGGCCGUAUAAUUCUACAUGUUCAAAUUCAACAGAUCAUAAAGAAAAAGCAAUCUCCAUCUUUUUUAAUAAGAAAGCAAAAUCUAUCUGGAUAAACUUAAGGGCGUCAGUAAGUAAACUCAGAAAGAGUACUUAAGGAACCACAUUCAAUUUCCAACCCAUAAGACGAAUGAGGAGAUAGAAGUUUGAAGAAGGGAAAAGAAGAUCAUGUUGGGAAAACAGGAACAUUUAUUACUCUAUACAUAUAACAUCUUCAUUUCUGCUUGUUCAGGAAAGCUCACUGGAAAUCUCAAACUUACUUAUCAGGUCAAUCAAUUCAAGACCAUCACUCAGAAGUUUUCAUCAUCCCAUUUACCAAAGAAAAAGUGUUCAUUCUAAUAUGGCAAGUAAAUCUCAACUAAGAGGACUGUCUACCAACUUAUCCACAGAAUUUACAGUAAAAAAGAAAAAAGGCUUAUCACCAACCUCUCUGUUUCUCCUCAAGAAAUCACACAUAUAACAGUCACUAAAGUCCUAAUGCCAGUGAACCUCCAACAAAGUGAAUAGAAUAAGAGCAAUCCAAAAGGAACAAAGAAUGCUAUUGAGCUUUGACAUUCCACAAUCAGACAAAGCAACUGUUUUGAAAAUAUACUGCAGAAGUCUAAGCAGCAGGAUCCUUCUAACUAUAACUGAUAGGAAAAAUUUCGCUGAAUUGAAAAGAAGAAGAUUUCAGGUUUAAUACCUGCUCAGAAACAGGCUUGAGGCUAAUGGUCUCGUCUAACUCAUUACCCUGUCCUGGAGGGAGCUUCAAAACCUCAUUAUCAUCAUUUUGCGUACUCUUGUCUUGCAUUUUAGAUUCUUCAAUAACUGAUGUAACACUUCCAUCAUAUUGAACACCUAUAUGACGCACAGUUGCAACACUUUCCUCACCGCAGGAACUUAUAUUGUGCUCUGAUAAGUUAUGUCCCAGAUCAGAUUUGUUAAACACUCGGCAAAGGACAAAAGAUCCCUGCAUAUACUUUGAAUCAUGAGAUUCUGAAUAAAUUUUGUUGCAGCUUUAACCAAAUGAAUUAGAGCAGAAACUUCUAACAUAAUCCAAUAACCAAAUUUCCUAGAUCUUUUAAUAUUCAAUCUGAUCAUAUGGGAAAGCAACCAUCAUCAAAAUAUACUUGACAUCUACACAGUACACACAGAUGGAAAUAAAUGGAAAUCACAACCCUAGGAAGAAUACACAACAUCCGAGUCAUAUAUGAAAGAUGGUGCACACAUUAGUCUCAGAGUGUAGGACUGUCGAAUAGAAGCUGACAUCAAGAUCCUUGAAACAAGAAACCAUCUAUUUUCUCCUCUUCUCGCACACAAACAAAUCAUGAUCAAAAGCUUGUCCAGCAGCAGGGCAAUGGGUAUCACACAGUGAAUCUCAAGUCUAAACCGAGGCCUCCCGUUCAGGAUCUUCACAAAUCAAAACUAAUUUCAAUAUGUUAUUAGGAAAUAGUCACGAUGCAUUUUUUCUUCUUGCCUUUAACAUUAAAAUCAAUUAAGAAAAUCACCUUUACAUUUUGAAACAAAAUAUACUUUCUUAUAAAAAAUGAUUUCAUCACACCAAUGCAAAAGGCACCAAAAGCUAUUUAUAAUGCGUAAUUGAUAAUAGCAAGAUAACAAACACAAACUUAAACCUAAUUCCAAAUAAGAAAUAACUAAUCUAGCUCAACAGGUAAAUCACAAACUUUAUGUCUCUAUUUGCGCCUGUAUGUGCAAAUUCUAGUACCAAGUACAAUAAAGUAGAAGAGAAUUUUAACAGCUUUAUUAGGGAAAAAAUGAAUUAAAUCCACAUUGACCCCACUAAAAUCAUUUCCCGAAACCAGCAUAAGCAAGACUGCCAACUGACAAUCAUUCAUUUAACAUGGCCGAAUCCAAUUUCUACUUCCGAAUCCAAUUUCUACUUCAUACCCUUGAAUUUAGGAAGCAUAAAUUACCACAAAAUUUUCUCCAUAAAUAUAUUAAAAAAAAAAAAGAACCGCAGAACCCAAUUCGCAAUGAAAAUGAAAGUAUUUGGGGGAGAAAAAAUUCCCAUUAGAUAUUAACGUCAAGUUAACUAAUUAUGAAAAAAGUUAAUCUAGUCAAACCCAAUCAGCUUAGACCAACAACAAUGUAUAACUUCUACCAAAAUAUCAGGUACAAAACUUCAAAUUUUUAUCAGACCCAUAACUUAAUAAAUUAUGAUCAAAGCAUAAAAGAAGAUUAAUACCAUAUGAUGAUCAAUGAGAGCAUAUUCAUACAGGACCCAACGAGUCCUAACAGCAUUCUCGUGUGAAUCCCCCGAAUAAAAAUCAAAACUUUUACGCGUCCCCACCACAACUUUCCCUGCACCCGCAUCAAUUACAUCCCUAACCCUCCCCCUCUUUUUCCAAUACCCGCCACCGGCGACUCUCCUCCUCCCUCUCUCCUCAAAACAACCCUCCUAACGUAACAAUACCAGUGGCGCCUCCGCCCUCCGCUGCCGAACCGGAAGCAACCCGAUUCAGGUAAGUUGAACGGGUUGAAAUUGUACAAGUCUAACUCUUUAAUUACGUCUUUGCCAUAACAAUUGGUGCCGUUGUUUUUAGAAGUAAGGUAGUAGCAGACGAGCUGUUGCUCGGAAGGGUAGAAUCGAGAACCUGGUGGAAGACAAAACGACGUCGGAUCAUCCGGGGGCUUUGGAUCCUCUCCCCUCAUUUGUGGAAAUUUUCCGCGAGAGCAAAGGCAUGGACAGGGGACAGAAGGUAGGGUUUUAUAGCAGUCAGGGACUCAAGAAGCGUGGCCCUGAAGUUUGUUUGGGGUUUUGUCUUGUGUAGUGCUAGCGCAAAAGAGUGUUCGUGCUCCUCAGUAGUACGAGCCGCCGGUCUGUCCACGAUUAUGCUGAAUGGUUGAUUGCUUUGCUGCUUAAUCUUGUGUGACCCGUUUGGAGGGUUGCGAGGACUUUAUAAAGAAUACAAGUGCUUUUAAGGAAACUGUUUAUAACCUGCUAAAUUUACCUACUUAAGUUAAGAAAAUCAGUUACUAAAUACCCUAAAAAUACAUUGAAUAAAUCUUAUAAAUAUCCUAAAAAUACUUUAAAUAAAUCUUAUAUACACUGACGAUGUAUACACUAUCGCGGUUGGAUAUACGACACAUAUGCAAAAUUUGAUUUUCAAAUUCAAAUUCAGAUUAAUGUGUCGUACAUCUAAUGAUGAAAGUGCAUACACUACUGCCAGUGUAUCAAAAAUUAAUCAAAUACUUUUAGUGCUUAAACUUUUUUAUUGUAAACGCAUUGCAACGCUAAACGGGCCAUUAGUGCAGUUUAACUUUAGUAAUUUUCGAGGUAGAUCAAAGCUAUGACAAAUAUAAUUUAUACAUUUAACUUGGGAUUUAUAAUUGUUUAGUAAAGAUUUUUUCUGUUGCAGAUCGAAUGACUCAAAUCAAUCAAUUUAGGUAUCGUGUAAUUGUUGUCUAAUAUGUAUUUUAUUAAAGACUUUUGGAUUGAUAGUAAUGUAGUAGAUGUGCUCGUUCAAUUGAACUUGCUCAGUAUUGGAAAUUGGAAUUGAAAAUUGAUGCAAAAGUGUGAAUAAAUUAAUACGAUUAAACAAAAAUCUACCUAUAUUGGAAUUGAAAAAUGAUUCAAAAGUAUUAUGAUUGAUAUAAUAAGUUAAAUUCUUCUUGGUCAAGUUUUUCCUUUUCCGGGGAUACUCCAUAUCCACAGUCUAUACUCUAUACUAUAUAGUGCAUGUCUCACCUUUUGAAAAGUCAACUCCAUUGACAAACGAGGAAUGCCCUCUGAAUAUUGCGCUUACUGAAGAGGGAUGUCUGUCUACUUUUUGUUCCGAUUCUUAAGUACAUUUGAAUGAAUUUUAAGUACGCCUAGGUUGCGAUUGGAAUGCGGGAUUUAAUGAAAGAUUGAAAUCUUCUCAAAUUUUUAUAAUUAUUUAAAUUAUUUAAGAAGUAUUUAAAUUUAUAAAUUACAAAUUAUUAUAGUGUUUAAAAUAUAUUUUGAUAAUUAGUGAAUUAUAAAUUCAAAUGUAUCUAAAUCAAUUCAAAUAAUUAGAACAACUUGAGUGGAUUUCAAAUUCUUCAUCAAAUUUCUCAAUCUAAACAAAAAAAAAAAAAAAUGCAUUUUGCCUCUUUUAUGGUAAAAGUAUGCACCCCGAGUGUGUAUAUCAUACAUGCAAUUCGCGAAACAUAUAAUCGACCCUUUUUCUGGUUGAACUCCCCUGGCGUUUCUCUCCACUGUAGUUCUUGAAACCAAACAUUCACUAAAGGAUCAUUUGAUUUUCACUUUCUUUCCCAUUAAAAGUAAAAAUGAUUACCAUUUCAUUUAAUUUUCAAGCAUGAGAGAGGGAAGGGUGUCCAUCAUGAUGCACUGAUUUCGUGAUUCUGAACAAGUUGAAAUUGCAAGAACAUAUUGAGUUUGUUUGGAUAGAGAGAAUUUGGAUGAUUUAUUUGAGAUAUUUACUGUAGCACUUUUUGUGAUGUGAUGUAUGUGAGAUAAAAAGGUGAUUGGGAAGAUAAAAAGGUGAUUGGGAUUUGUGAGGAUAAAUUUUGCAAACCAAAUUCUCUCUAUCCAAACAAACUCAUUAUUAUUAUUGUGAUUUACAGAUUUCUGACAUAAUACAGUUCGUUUUCGUCUAAAUUAAAGCACAAGAACUCCAGAAAUAACGAGUCCACCUAGUUGAGGGAACAUCGGUUUACUCAUUGACUGGAAUGCUGCUCAACGUACAAAGACGCGGGUGAUGGCCGUGAGGUAUUUCAUAACCAAAGAAUGAUUUUACAAUUUCGGACACAUCCGUGUGUGAAUUGUGAAACUGAAACUGUGGUAUCUAUCCAGUGUCAAAGUGCAUGGAUGCGUGAACAAAUCUAGCCCCACGACUGUUAUCGCCGGUGCAAUCAAUAUAAAGGGGCACAUGAGGGGCCGACUUUCUUGUUUCACUGUUGCAAGAUGACUGGUAGAAAGGGAGGAGGUUGAGCAUCUUCUGAUUUGGUUUUUACUCGUACUUGAUUCUGGAGACUUGGCGAAAGGGAGGCCUUUCUGCAUCUGUGUGAAGACGCCAUGCCAUGAUCUGAAUUAGCUCAGAUGCAAUGGUUCAGGGGUGGUUUUGAAGGGAAUCCGCAUCUUUGUCAGUGUGAUCACCAGUUGAUGCAACUUCCAGGCUGCCCAUCCCAAUCCAUUUCUCAGCAGCAGCUCCCUCAAAAUUCCUUCUGUUGACAAACUGCACUAAAUAAUGCCUACUUGGCGCAAGUCCUACUCCACCUAUACUUGGCGCCAGUCCACAAAGUUGAAAAACCCCAGUCCCUGGGGGAUUUGGUCAGUCAAAUCUUGUAAAUCCCUUUAAUUCUUUUAUCUAUACACUGACUAGUAUAUCCUUCUGGGGAAACGGCAGCAAUCAGGUAAAAGCGUUCACAUGGGAGUUAAUUUUCGGAUGCUUUGAACCAAUACAGUAGUAUAUAGAGUGCUGGUGAGCAUUAUAUUAUUAUUGUUUGCCUGGCCAGGGAGAAUCAGUUGGGUUGUCAAAAAAAAAAAAAUAAAGGGAUGAAUUCGCAAAGCCGCCGAAAAUGCUAAAGAAAACCAGCCCUACUAUCGGCAAUUGCAUGGAACUAAUAAAUAAAAAUUCGAAUGGACCCCCAAGUCUCAGAGAGUCGGACUCCUCUACUAUCAGUACUGGUUCUAUAAUUUUUAUUUUAGGAGCACUCAGACACCGCGAAAACACACGCUGGCUCAUAGGUUUCUAUAAGUCGGCCCCCUCUGUACUACAUCUAACAAAUCUUGUUGGAAGUCAAAAACAUAUAUACAGGCUUAGUCGAUACCCCAGGUCAGAUUUGCCUUCCUCUCAUGUACCGGGUGGUUCCUGCAGAGACCUUAGCGCUCGAGCAGUUUUCUUCUAGUAUUAUAAUCCUGGAAAUCAUCUCAAAAACAGUUUUAAAAACAAAUUACCAGCCAUUAACUCUCUAAACAAUAUCCAAAAAUAAGAUGAGAAUAAAACUACUCCGGCAGGUUCAAAAUUCCAAUCUAUCAUUCGAAAACUCAGUUCUAGAAUCUAAUUCCUUCCCUACGAAAGAUAUUGAAAUCUUGAUUCUAUCAAAAACUCAUCUUCCAUUCUCAUCACUUCACCCGCGCUCAGGAAACGAUGCUGUCACUCAGGGAAAGUGAGGCUAGCUGAUCAGCUGGGCCGCUUGCCUGCUGAACAUUCUGCAGGACCUCCAUUGCCUCAGCAACUUUUGCCUUUAAAGCAUCUGGUGAUUCCAGUAGAUGCAAGACCUCUGUCUGGUCCAUCUCCAGAAGCAUGCCUGUAACUUGGCUGCAUAUUCAGGCUCCAGCUGAUCAACAAUGGAUACAGAUUUUCACCCAACAUCUCCGCAUAGAAACAUGUUAACAACCAUCUAGACAAAACCUAUUUACUGAAGCUUCAUAUAAAAUGUUAUAUCCUACCGUGCGUUGCUGUUCUGGGGAUGCAUUUGCAAGUGCAGAUGCCAGAGCGGUAGCUGGCAUUGGCUGACCAAUGGCACCUUCUCGGGGAAGCGUCCCACCCAUGUCAUAUGGAGAGAGAACGCCUCCUGCUACACCAGGCAUUCGCACAUCAGGAACACUGCGGCCAGGUGGAUACCUAAACAUCCGUCCCCUUGGUAGCAUCUGACAAACAAAUAUUUGACCUUAGUUCUGUUACACGAAAAAAUACAUACAUAACAUAUACAGUAAGAGACCAACCUGCUGCUGCAUCAAUGGCACUGGCUGCUGGGCUUGUUGCAUUGGCCCUGCUCCACGCCUUCCACCAGGCCGCUGGCCUUGCUGGACCAGUGGCACAAAGAAAUUUGGCAAAGGAGCUCCACCAGGUCGCAUUCCAGGUACAAGCUGCUGCUGAUAUCCAAAUCCAGCCUAAAAAUGCUUAUCCCAUUUAAGAGUAAUGCCACAAGAAGAGAAGAAAAAAAAAAGAACAAAAGGAAGGGGGGGGGAGGCGGGGAGGGGAAGAAAUGUAAUGGCAAAUACAGCAGUCAAAGGACAAACUAUAACCUGUGGAGGGAUUAUAGUAGGAGGAGCUUGCCCAUAAUAUAGAUGUUGUCCAAUAGCAGGACCACCAGGAGGAUAGAGAGGCAUUCUAGGAGCAAUAGUUGGCCCUAUUGCAACAGGCCUCAUUUGCGCAAACUGAGCCUGCAUUAACAUCAAAAUGAUGAAGUCUGUCAAGAAUUACAGUACCACAUUCAGUCUAAGCCACACAAAACACGCUUCUGCAAGGCAUUGUCAUAACGAUUCAGCUAUGACAAAUUGCAGCACAUAAUUACUACUAUUUCUGCUUUAGGUCCCAUGGAACCCUUAAAUUUCAGAAACGAAAAUUUGAGACCAAAACUGAACAACAAAUACAGCAAAACAGGUAAGCUCAAAAUCCAGUAUACAUGUAAGCUGAGAAUGCUAAAAAUCUAAAUGGAUAUGACAACUAAAUUAUUGAACUUUUUAAGCACUAUUAAGAAAAUUCAACCAUCAACCAUCCACUCAUAUUCUAAUAGACAUUGUGCACUUUUUUCUUAUGACUGACAUAACCAAUGAAAAUAGAGAUUUGACACCCAGAAUAUGCAAAAGGAUGCAAAUAACAGCAUUUGGCAAGGAGAGUCUCAUGCAGGAAAAAUCAAUAUGCCAUAUGAAAGCAUGUUAAAUUAAGUGCCAUCAGGCGAAGAAUUCUUAUAUGUCAUCCACAAAAGCAACCAGAAAACAUAAAUAAAAGCAGCAAAGGAGAAAUCUCCUGAAAGCACGAGACCUGUAAUCUUGCUCUUCGCUCUUCUUUCCUCUGCGCCAGUGCAACAUAAAGUGGCUUGCUGAUCACCAUCUUUCCAUUCAUCUCAGAAAGCUAUUAACAAGAAGGAAACAACCUAGUUAGCUUCUCGCCAUUCCCCAUAUAAUAGAAACAUAAUCUAAUUUAUCAUCGUACAGCUCUAGAAGCUUCUUCAGGAGUUGUGAAAGCUACAAAACCUGAUCCUCUGCUAAUACCACUAGGAUCCGCAUAACCUAAAACAAAUCAAGAAUGUAGUUAGGAGGACAUGAACAAACCAAGGUGAACAUUUGAAGGACACUCCAACAUGGAGAGAUGGAAAGGAAGAAUAGGACAAGAGGAUCAAUUAAAAAAAAAACUACAGAGAUUUGAAUAUGCACCUUGCAUGAGGUUAUGGUGCCAAAAUCCGAAAACAGUUCCUUAAGUUUAUCAUCAUCAAUGCUGUCAUCCAGGUUCUUUACAUAUAAAUUCAAACCUUGAUAUUUGUCUACCACUUCCUUUGCCGUUUGCUCAAAUUGACUCUUGAGCUCUUGCUCUCUUUCAGACUUCUUUUGGGCUUUUCCAACAUACCACUCCUUGUCAUCAUAUUUUUUUCCAUUAAGAGCAUCAACAGCUUUGGCAGCAUCAUCUGCAUUCUCAAAGUUGACAAACCCAAAACACUUGGAUUUUCCAUCUGCAUCCCUCAUCACCACUGCACUAGUGAUUGCUCCAUGCUCCCCAAAAAUUUUCUUUAGAUCAUCAUCUGUGGUAGACUCUGAUAGAUUUUUCACAUAGACAUUGUUAAAUUUGGUCCUACUGAAGGCGGACUCUCUCUCCUGCUUACGAAGGAACUGACCAACAUACACUUGCUUAUCGUUAAUAAGCAUUCCAUUCAACUUAUCAAUGGCAGUCUGAGCAGAUUCUGCAUGGUCAAAUUGAACAAAACCAUAACCCUUAGAUUGGCCAUUGCCGUCAGUAGCUAUCUUGCAUGAAAGAAUGUUGCCAAAGGUUGAGAAUGUAUCAUGCAAAGCUUUGUUGUCAAUUGCCUUGUCCAGAUUCUGCACAGACAAGAACAAUUCAAUACUCCACACAAAGCAUGCAUAAGACAAUGGCAUAGUACAGUAACAUUUAACCCUGGUGGUGCUUUAAGAAUAUAAAGCAUAAAAUCUCAAGAGAGAAAGAACUGUACAACACUGUUUUAUUAAUUCUUCAAGAUCACAGAAUUAGGCUAGAAAAUUUACAAUGCACAGCAUAGUUCAAUCAGAUUUGAUGCUCAUGGGCCAAAGGAGGCUACUGAAGUGUACUAGAACAAAGCAAAUAAUCUAAAAACUGAAAUUUGUUCAUUGCUUUAUCAACAAUAAAAAAUUUUUAAUCCAUGUCAUGCCAAGUGAGACUAUACCCAGAAUAAACAAAGGGACCCGCAUGGUGCAUUAGAUAGGGGCAAGUAAUAACCCUAAUAACUGAAAAGUUAUUUAGCAUCGUUAUUCAUUUAAUACUAAUUGCACAGCAACCCUAGCAACAUGCCUUGGCAGUGCUAUACUCAAGCCUGAUCAAUGAAUAAUGAUGGACAGUUGACAAUUGAUAAUACCUUGAUAAAGAUAUUUGCAGUCCCACUCUUACGGAUGCUAGGGUCUCGAUGAGAGUACAUGAUCCUGAUCGACUUGCCAUUGAUAGGAGUGAAGUUUAACACAUCCAUUGCCCUUGUAGCUGAAACAAAGAAAAACGGUAUUGGUAGUAAAUUUAAUGGAAAUGAACUUCAGGUAGAAAACUUAAAUAAACAGACAAAGAGAUGCAAUCAUAUCGCCAAGAAAUCAGUAAAAAGAAUAUCAAGUAAAUUUACACAGACUAGUGUACAUUACUUCUCUCUAACAUUUGGAUGGUAAUAGACAAGCAGCAGCCUACGUGUGGAGCCGCAAAAGGAAGGUGAUAUAAAAUCAACCUAUAAAAGCAAAGGAAGGGUAGCAAUAUUUAUUUUUCAUCUAUCCAUAAACUACAAACAAAGCUAAUAGAUAGACUUAUCGCCAGAAUUGGAGCCACACCCGAAUCAAAGUGUCAAACUGAAAAUAAAUUAACAGCAAUAGCUGACCAGCUUACAGCUGACUUGCGUUGUUCAAAAACCUAAAAAUUCUAAACUUUAGGCACAACACGCAAUCUUGUCAAGCAUCCAGAAGUAUGCCUACCCAUCAAUUAUCACACACCAAAGCAUAAGACGUUAAAGAAUACCCUCAUGCAAAACAUACAUUCCAACAAAAUCCACAAUGCAAGUCCCUAUAUCGUAGAAAAUCAUUCAUAUACAUAAAUGCCAGGGGAACUUAUACAGGAAAAAGAGAACAGAAAAGAAGAAACAAGCUUUACCAUCCUGAGGAUUGCUAUAGUUGACGUAGCCAUAGCAGAGUGAGCGGCGAGUGCUGAGGUCCCUACAGACCCUUACCGAAACCACUUGUCCCACCUGGUUGAACAGAUCGUACAAUUGGGAGUCCGUCACGUUGACGUCCAGGUCACCCACGUAAAGCGAGGUUGACAAAAACUGAUUCCCUCCACCAAUGGGAGCCGCUGCUGCCGCCACAGCAGCACCACCAGCCGGAGCCGCCACUCCAUUCAGCCCAGCUGUCACUCCCGCAUUCUGCACCUGAAUCUGCGCCAUUUUUUCCUUUUCUCAAAAAUAAAACUUAUUUAAUUUCCCCCUCCUAAAUUACUAUGACUGUAAUUUUUGGGGAAAUUAAAGAAAAGGCGGAGGGCGUGAUGAAAUUGGGACAAAAAUAUAAAAUCGUCGGAGGAUCCGAACGAACAAUGAAGACGAUGGAUAGAUAGAGAUGAUUUUUACUAUAUAUCAAUAGAUUUUGUAUUAAAAAGAAAAGAAAAAAAAAAGAAGGAGAUGAAGAAGAAGAAGAAAAAGGGCAAAAAAUUUUGGUUUUUUUUUUGGAUUUUACGGCAGGGGAGGGCAGGGGGAACUGCACCGCAACAGGCGAGAAGACAACAGUGAGGUUUAUAAUGAAGCACCCAAACGGUGGUGACGUAUGAGAAACCCUAACGGGGUUAGGUCUCCACCGUUGGAUUCUAAUAGGGGUCCCACUUGGCGGUUACAUUUUAGACUGAACGGUGAGAUAGAUUCACGAUUCGGUUUCAGUUUGCUUGUGGACGCCGUUAGAUGUUUUUGAUCAACAUUUCAGGUUCAGUUUGAUUGUGACACGUGGGGAAAUGUGCAUGGGAGUUUUAGUAGCGUGGUUGAAUCUAGCCGUGGGCUAAUGUCAUCUGUCGGCUGUAUUCCUCUCACUUUUGUACAAUCUACGAAAGAAAACUACGUAGUAUUUUCAUGUCUAUCAUUUCCUUCCUCAAGAAAAACAUUUCUAUCUUUUGGUUUCGAUAUAUAGUAUUAAAAAUCAAUCGUUUUUGCUGGGGGAAAUGACAGAACAUGAAAAUGUCUAUAUGUGAGAAGUGAAAGCCCAAAUAAACACGAAUGUUUGGAUAGUAGAUUAUUUAGGAUAAAUUUUUGAAAAAAAAUACUAUGUCAAUUUUUUGAUGUAAUGUAUGUAAGAUAAAAUGGUGAUAAAAAAAUAUGUUUAUGAUACAACUAAAUAAAUUUGUGUAAAUAAUUCACUAUUCAAUUUCCCACUCUUUUGAUCAUUGAUGAAUAUUUUUGUUACAACCACUCCAUGACAAAUUCUUCUGUCAAUACGGGGACUAAACCACCAUCGGACUAGACGGCUGUACGCACCGUGCACCCGUCUGGAUUUUUUAGGAGAGCCAUUUUUUAAUGUGGCGAAUUUGCCUCCCACCCCACUAAGCUUUAAUGCAUUGAUGGUCGCACUAGCCCAAGACCGGUGAUUUUUUAAAUUUCUACCUUGAUCGAAUUUUUUUUUUUGAAAUCAAAAGAAUUGAAACUUUUGAAAAGGAUAAGUCAUACAAACUUUAUUUGAUUAAUAUGUAACUUAAGAACGAGUACAAACUAAGACAUAAUAGCUGUCAAGCUAUUGAGAUGAAAAAAAAGGAGAAAAGAGAUCACAAUUCCCACUUGUGACAAAAUAUUGUCGAGGUGAUGAGUAGGUACCCUUGUGAUUGAGACGAUGAUUUCUUUGUUUUCUUUUUUUCUCCCUCUUUUUUUUUUUUUUUUAUUUAUAACCAGGUCUGAACUUUGAUAUACAGGUAUAGUGGUAUGAUGGAUGGACGAAGAAAAGCCCUAAUAUUCCGAAGUCGCUUAGUAUGAUAAAUUAACAAUUGGUCUCUGCGUUAGUUUGGCCAGAGAUCAUUAAUUAACUGACGAUUAAUUUUGAUGGUUUGGAAUUGUGUGUGUUAAGAAGUAUUGAGACAGGGAAAUCCCGUAGACAAUCAACUAAUCAUGCAUGAUUUAAACGACCUUCAUGAAUACAAACUCAUUGCAGCUUGACAUAUACGUCUCUGAGCUCAUUUCCAUGGACUUAAGUGCAAUUUCAAUUUUGACCUUUUAUUUUUCCUUUUAGCGUAUGAUUUAAAGUAAAUCAGGUUUUCAGAUACGUUUUUUGGACAGGGACAGGGACAUGGAGCAGGCGGUGUAAGUUAUCAAAAGAAAGGUAGUAAAAGCAAGAUCUAUUAGCAACAGGUGUGGGACGCCGUGCAUGGAUCCUGAAGUAUAAGGCUUUAUUUAGAUUGCUUUUUUCUGGACUUUUUGUAGAAAAAUUAUUAUAACGAUUUGAUAUAUGUAAGAUAAAAAAGUGAUUGAAAAAUAUGUUCACAAAAAAUGUAAUAAUUUUUUUUUGAAAAUUGCAAUCCAAACAUAGCGGUUUUCCACCAAAAAGCAUGAAGAAUUCUCUAGGCAUGGUGUGUUUUGUAGAUCAAUGAAGUGUUAAUCUACCAGUAAUCAUUUGAAGAAGAACCGUAAAAUGAAUCAUUUUCUAGAGUUUUUGUAUAAAAAUCGUAUUAUAGUGAUUUAAUAUAUGUGAAGUAAAAAGUUGAUUGAUAAAUGUAUUCAUGAAAAAACGUAAAAAUUUUUGUGUGGAAAAUAGCUUUUCCGAACAACAAGGACAUUGUAUAGCCUCUAACGAACUGAGCACAGGAAGAAAACCAUAAAGAAACUAUUCUUAAUUUUCUUCAGGUAUACUAACACUUACCAAUGGAGAUGUACAAUUAUUAGGGAUAAUAUCAGAAACCUCCCUUGAGGUUUCUCCUAAUAUCACUUGAUACCCCUAAGAUUUUUGAAAUAUCGUUUACCUCUCCUAAUAAUUGCAAAAAGAUUGUAUUAACCUCCAUUUGACACAUAAUUCAUAUAUCAAAUAAACGGAACUCAAAAAUUUUUUUUUAAAAAAGUCACUUUUUAUCUUUCUCUUUUCUCCAUCAUUCUUUUCUACUCAUUUUUUGGAUGACUAUACAAUAUUUUAUUUAUAAAUUAUAAUAAAUUAAAUUUUUUAUCUUAUAUUUUUUGUAAUUGUAAUAAAGUGGAGUAUGAUUUAUUUGCUUAUUUUGAGUUGAUUUUUAUAAUGAUUGGUAUAAUUAAUGGUUUAAGCAAAGGUUCAGAAGAUGUUGAAAAAAAAAAAUAAAAGUUCAUAAGAAAUCGGUUUUGAGCAUAUAGAGUUAAAUUGGUGCAAGUGUAUUUCUCUUCAAAUAUCUUUUGUUAAAUCGGUAAGUGAUGUUUUUAAAACCUUGGGGGGUUGCCAAGUGAUAAUAAGGAAAAUCUCAAGGGAGGUUUCUGAUAUUAUCCCAAAUUAUUAAACUAUGUGGCCGUUUAAACUUUACUCAAUCAAAACGAAUUUGAUUUGAUUAUGUUUAAAGCCUAAUAUAUGCAUUUAGAAAGAAAAGUUGCACCAAAGCUUUACAUGCAACGUUAUUAAAGCAGAUGUCAUCAUCAUCUUCAGAUGACAAUCGGACUAGCAGCUGGCGCCGAUCCGUCCAAUAAAUGAUUAGUUAUACUUUAGGUCAAAUUUGAAAGGUAAUGUAAUUUCAUAGGCCAAUCAUUAAGGAUUAGAGCUAAGAAUAUGAAUGAUUACAUGCACUAAACCUUGUGUGUCUCAGGUGGAAUUAGUCAAUAAUCAUACGCGGCGUUGCAGAACCACACCCGGGCCGAAUUAAUCCCAUCCCUCAUUAACCAAUCGACCAGAAAUUAUGCUAAACUGACUAAGAAUCAUCAAGAAAAAUACAAAAAAAGUUAAUAAAAGGUGCGGUCUUGAUCAGCAGGGUAAAGCUACAAAUACGACCAUGCUGUGGACAUCAGCUUUACAUGAAACGUCAAAUAUUAAAGAAGAAAGAAAUGGACAUGUAAUUCCCUCCACCCAAGAUAACUGUAUACAAACCAGACUUCUCUAGUCUAGUAGUAAUUUAAAUUCUAGGAUCCCUUUCCCAACUCCUUAAUUUCCCACCAACAACAUGUCAUAACUAUAACUGAUCUUCGACCCCACAAACCACUACUGGAAAUAUACACAAAUGUGCAAGGCCCUGAAUGAAUUUGUUGGUUAGCAAAAGUCGCACAAAAAAAAAAAAAAAAAAACAAUUCUAGCUAGUUGAACUUGAGUAGUGUAUAUAUUGGCAUUCCAAUUUAGAUUUCAUUGAUUGAUACUGUUUCAUGAAAGGCAAGACACAAACCAUCUUUAUCAGUUUUGAAGUCUAAAAUAGUAGUACUACGUGGGAAGUGGAGUAGGAUAUGAACGGAAGAUGGAGGUUCGUGGACUUCAGUGUCCUACUGUCACGGUUUCGUAACUUUUAACCUAAAAGCUAAGGAAAACAAAAUCGCUAUAGUCAAAAGGACCGAUCAGCCGCGACAGAAUAUUGGGAAAAAAGAGUCGUGGUAGUAGCAACAUUUUCCAACGAGAGACAGAAACACUUUGGUUUCAGGUUAGGAACAGAAUAAGGAGGAUCAGGAUCAUGAUCAGGGUACAAAGAUACAAUACUUGUCUUUCUUCUUUCCCGAAACAAAGAAAGAAAAAAAGCAAGAAAAGUACUGCAUGAAAUUAAGCAAAUUACAACUGAAACCGAGAUGAAAGAUUCUUGAAUUUUGCCUUGAAGUUUUCAUCUGUUCUCUGGGUGCAAUGGGAAGAGUUCUAGGGUCCUAUCUCCCUCAUUUCUACAAUAUCUCUUGUCCUCUUCCAAGCAUUCAAAAGUCCAUGACCUGCACUUUCUCUUGUAAGGACUAUCUUCCUCUCUCCCAAAGUCUCCCUACACAAAUUAACAUGUCCUCAACAUGUUAAGCACUUCAUUUUGACUUUUUGAGCUAGCAGCACAUCAUAAUGUAUACCCUAAUGAAGUAAAACCAAAAAAUGACAACUUUUUUUUUUGUACGGAAUUAUAUAUCUUCAGACUAGGGAGAUUAAAGUCUUAAAUUCUUGAUAAAUAACUAUACCAACUUCAAACUCUCCAAAGUAUAUAUAUAUAUAUAUAUAUAUAGAAGGUUAAGAACAAAAACAAAAUCAAUUAUGAAGAUGAGACGUACCCUUGACUCGUGUGUUAAAGAACUACUAAUGGUAGUGGUGGUGGUGACACCAGGAGCUCUUGGACUAUGGUUAAGGCCGAGAUUAUUGCGCUUUUGCUUCUGUCUCUCGCGUGCUUUGUGGUUUUGGAACCAGUAAAACACAUUUUUCCCCUCUAUCUUUCCAUACUUUCCCAGCUGUGCCGUGAUUUGUUCAAUUUGUUGAGCAUUUGGAGUCCUCAUGCCCCUCUGUACAGCAUUUCUAGUAUACCUAUUUGCUCUUGGGUUGGAUUCCACCUCGUCCCUCCCGGGUGUGUAUCCACCUGCAUGUCAAAUCAUCAUAAGCUCAGCAACUAUAUUUCCAGUAUCCUUAAACAAGUUCAUCGCCGAAACUAGCUACAUGCUUGACGUCCUUUGUAAGUUACUGCCAUGCAAUACAUGUACGUGAAUUAAUUGAGGGUCUGAAAUUGUUAAAUUACAUGGGCAGUUUCUCUCUUGUCGUCUGAGGAUCCAAGCUUUCUGGGGCCGCUUUCAGGUCUGAUGAAGCUCUUGAGAUCGAAAGGGGGACGGUGGUGGGAGUACUGUCGGUGUUGGAGAGCUUGGGCGCAAGAGGGCGUAAACGCUUGCAGCCAAGCGUGAGGGAUGGUUCAUGCUCCCAAAAUCCACGUGCAAACUGAUGCACCUUCAUGCUUCCCAUGGGUGCCAAUUUGAUGAUGAAAGUGUAGCAAUUAUAUAGAAGGAUGAAGGAAAGAAAGAAAGAAAGAAAGAAAGAAAGGAAGGAAGGAAGAAAAGAAAGUGGGAAAUGAGGUGGUGCCUAGAAGAACCAAGACCAAAUGAUGAGGUGAGGUUGACUUGGGAUUUCCAUUUCAAAAAAAGAAAGAAAAAGUGAUCUGGAGCAGAGAAAAAGAGAGAGUGAGUGUGUGAUGUAGAAAAAUGUGCUAUCAUUGUAUUAGUGCAUUGAGCGUGUGGAUGAGUGCUAGCUGUUGUAAUUGGUCUUGUAGUAUCAGAAAAUUUUCUGUAUUUAAGACUGAUUGUACGAUCAGUCUCAGCCAAGUUACCCACGGGAGGCUAUAUUGAAUUUAAUUAGACUGGUGAUAUUUAUAUGAUUGUCGUUCCAUAUUAUAUUAUUCUGGCACAUAUCAAAAUUGAAGAAGUAUGGUACAUAUAGAUGGACGCCCAUGUAGAUGUAGGAGGUGUUUUUAAUCAACACUUCCAAGAACGAAAUUUACACACUGUAAUUGAUUGGUAAUUUUAGGACAAAAGAAUCAUGUAUUUCAAGGACUUGUGCUCUUUAAUUGCUAAUUUAACUUAGAUUUUCUGAGCGCCCUAAAAUUUAAAGAUAUUGAUGGUAUGUGUGUAUAUAUAUAUAUAUAUAUAUAUAUAUAUAUGCGUGUGUUGGGUAGUCUAAUCGAUCGGGUGGUAUUCUUUCUCUCUUGCUUUCAUGAUAAGGUGUGUAUGCUUUUCGGUGGCCUCUCUUCUAAACUUUAUCACUAAAAAAAGGUGAAGAGGGAGGGAAUGGAAAAAGAUUCCUCCAAUCCCAAAACUUGAAAAUGGAACUCUAAUUUGCUUUCUAAGAUACGGAUAUGGUCGUGGUGUGAGAAGAACUGAAUGCCGUCUUUUAGUGGUAGAGCAUGUUGAAAAAACAAACAUAUUAAACCAAAUCUAUCUAUCUCUCUGAUAACCCCCAUAUCUAUCAAUCUAUCCAAUAUCCAUCCAUCUCUCUCAAGUCUCAACUCAAAUCCUUUUCUUUUUCUUUGGGAACUGUAGUUCCAAUUUCCAAAAUAGUAUAAAACCACCAUCUCUGAUCUCACUCACUUUAUAUCCCUCUUUUGUUGUAUCACAAAUUCUUGCAUGCAUGAUUCAAACAAACACACACCUUCGCACCCUUGUUUAAUUAGCCACUACGUACUGCUAUAUAUACUUUGCCAAUUUUCUAUCGAAUAAUCAUUGUCUGCCACUGAUCUUGACUCUGAUAUGAUUAGCUAUCUAGUUUAAAUUAAUCACACUUGCCAAUUUUCUUCUUCCCAUACGUAGUCCAGUGAACAGAUGAUCAGGAAGGACUCUACGUACUGCCCUAAAAUAUAUAUAUGUAUAUAUAUAAUUGAUGAUCAAGAUUUAGAAUGUUACUAAAAACACCAAUAUAUAUAUAUAUAUAUAUGUAUAGAAUUCUAAGGUGCAUGCAGAUAUCGUCAUGCCUUGUUAAUUAUGCCUUCCAUCAAAUGACAGCGGCUUCGGCUUCAGCUUCAGGUAUCCAAAACUCAAUAAUGCACCAUCACUCUGCUCUAGCAGCAAAAGAAGACUGAUCGGUCAAUAAAGUUUCAAGAGAAGAAAUGGAUGGAGAUCUGAGUUUCACAAAAAUAUAUAUAUCCUUGAAAGUAGCAUGUGCAAUCUUGUCCUCAGCAUAGAUUUGCCCACGAGACAUUAAGUCAAAUUUGUGGUAUAAUUUCAAAACUCGAUCUUCUAAAUAUCUCCUUCGGCAUGGUACAAUCACAAAACAAACAAAAAAAAAUUAAUAUUGUGUUCAUAAUUCAAAAUUGGCCAUUAGAAUCUAAACAUGUGGCCGGAACAAGUACACCUCGGACCUUAAUGUCUAAUCAAAUGUUCAAGUUUUCUCUGUCUUGUUCCUACCUCGAACUUGCACUGCAAUGUGGGGAUUGGGAAGUAUGAAAUUGUUCAUGAUCUCAAGCAUUUGAUUGCGUUCUGAAUUUGCACCUUGCCAGCCUUGAAAUGGAGGAAUAUCCUUCUUCUUUUUUUUUUUUUUUUUUGUAAAAGAUACUUCUUAGCGUGUUGACAUUAAGCAAAGGGCACCUUAUUAUCCCUUUCUUUCCAAUUUCUAAACACUACUGUACUUCACUCUUCUUCUUCUUCUUUUUUUUUUUCUUUUGGAGAAAAGGAACUAACCAAUUACAAAUAUACAAAAAAAAAAAAAAUUAACUGGGUCUUAAUUUCCAGCUAACACCAAAUCUGGGAGAGAUAAACACGGUACUUCACGAGCACCGAACUUCUAUAGGUCGUUGUUGGAAAUAUGUUUCCAUAUUCACAUACACAUAUAUAUAACACGUAUAUGUAUACAGUAUUCGGACUUUUAAAAUCCCAAGAAUAUUGCAUAAUGCCUAAAUAGAAGUCAGUGACAAAGUAAAACUAGUUAGUUAAAAGUGCCGUAAAUCUGUCAUCCCUACACAAAAACUUUGUUCAACUUAAACUACAUUAAUUUUAGGGUAAAAAACCUAGAAUUGCGUAGUUAUUGGAUAAAAUUACCCCGCACUUUGUCACGUAUACUGCUAAUUUCAGAAAUUUAGAGCAAUUAUCGACUAAAUGGUCACGGAUUUACUGAUUAAGUUGUUUAGUGGCCAAUUACUGACGAAAAAUAGUUUGAUGGCCAAAACAUGAUCUUACCAAUAGUUUAGUGGCCGCUGCGAUUUUUUGCCCUUAAAUUUUAUGUAAAACCUUGUGAGGACCAAAAUUGGUUUUGUAUGCUAGCUGCACUAAAACUUUCUCCAACCCUGGCUUUCAGCCGCAUAAGAAUUUAAGAAAAUUAAAUUAUGUACUGCGUAAAACGGAAAACCUACUAGACACUCUACUACUAUAUGAAUAAUUUACUGGGGGAGGGGGCCUUCUAAAGAUUGAAAAUAAUUUAGUACUCUAGUAUUCUAGUACAAGUCCUGGCAUCCAGAAGGUCAAUCUACACCAUGACCGAUCAUAUUUCAUGGGUUUUAUGAUGCCAAAUAUUGACAUUGCGGUUCCCGGCCAAAAGUUUGCAGAUCACAGUUGACAGUAAUGCUAACACCUUCAAUCGCGACAGGAUAAUUUAUGGUCGUUUACAAAAUUCUCUAACCUAGUUUCCUAGGGCUUCAUAAUUCUGUACCUAGUCUAUGUUUGUUAGGACUUCUUGUCACGAAAAAGAAUAAUGCUUGUCAAGCCAAUCUUAACUUUAGCGAAAAAACAUUUUAAUCUUGCACGCAUUUUAGUAUUACUACAACAUAUGCUCUCAAGUUUUGAUGGAUUCCCUUCACAAAAAGAUGCUAGUGUACAAAAGAAGAUGUGGCACGAGGAGGAGUAGGCAUAUUCGUUUUAGAGUGAGUUUGAUAAAAUUAAGAACUGAAAUCUGAAAUCUGAAAUUUAAAAUUUAAAUAUAUUAAGUAUUUAAUAUUUGAGUGUAUUUUGCGUUAAAUGAUAAGUGAGCAACUUAUUACUUAUUAAAUCAAAAUCAGUUAAUCACUUAAGACGUUCUAUUUUUUGGUUAUUAAACACGUCUAAACAUAUUAAAAUUUGAAUCCAUAUUACAUUUAAGUGCUGAAUUGAGUUUUUAAACAAUAGCUUACUUUUCUUUAAUGUUCUCUGAUCGGAGGAUAAGGGUGUUUUUUAGGUUUAGAAGAGAUCCUAUAAUUUAUUUUUUAGAAAAAAGAAAAAGAAAAAGUUGGAGAGUCUGAAUCAAUGGAUCCAUCAUGAGCUAACUAAAAGUCGCUAAAAGUUGAACCGAUGAGACAAUAAGAGUUGAACAUACAAAUUGAUAACCUUAAGGCAUGAAGUCUCUAAAAUGGCCAAUUGGCGAAGACUUCAUAGAAGGUUUUCCAAUGAAAAGGAGAUGAAAUUGCUGUUUUGAGACAACAUCCGUCGGCACUUCAAAGAAAAAAUGAGGAAGCCAAUUUUAUUUUUUUUGGUUUUAAAUUUUCUCAACCAUCCCCAACAUCUGCCCUCCGGUCCCAGUCGCCAGAGAAAAAAGAUAUGAAAAUAAAAGAUGAAAACGUGGGGGAGAGAUAAUUAUAUGUUUCCGGCCAGUGGGGAAAAAGUGAAGUGAAUGAUUAUUAUGGAAAUUCCAGCAAGAAUUAUGAGUUUUCUCUUCUUUCAUUUUUUUUCCACCAUGACGUGAAAGGUUUUGGACAAUCAGCUUUUGUUCCAUGUCCAGCCAAACCGUCAAUACCAGUGCCUUAGGAAAAUCAAAACGUAGAGAAUACUCAUGAAUGAAUAUACAUACCUAAUUAGGAGGGCUUUCCAUUUUCAUUUCCAAUUCUUUUUUUUUUUUCAUUUCCUAUUUUUUGAAGUCUUUGUCCAUGCAUGUUAUGCUCUGCUCUCUGUCCCUCGUCCCAAAAACACGCCCCAAUGAUAUGUCGGUACCACCCAUUUGAAUUCUCUUCAUAUGGUUUUUGUUUUAAAUUACUGUUCAAUUUUGUCCGUACGUAAGAUAAAUUUCCCGGCGGUGCAUUUUUCUCAUUCCUGUGCUGUUCUGUUCUGUUCAUUUUUACCUGAAUUUAACACGUUGGCGGUUAAAAAGUUAUUACUUGUCAUGGGUAGGCUGGCUGCUACGAAAAAAAUAAUUAUUCAUUUCGGAAAAUAUUUCAUUUUGCUCCAAACGUUAUCGCGCAUUUGGCCUUCACGGUUAAUACAUUUUUUUGCGGUUAAUUACGAUCCUCCUCAUUGAAUUUCUCUUUAUUUUUCUUUCCAUUUAUUCCCGUCCAAAUUAAUAUAAUGUUAUAAAAUUAUGCAAUUGUGUCAUUAUAUUUCUUUUAAUUUUUGGAUCAAUAUACCAAAAAAUGAUUUUUUUUUUUGGAGAAUAUUUUGACAUUGAGUUUACGUGGAACAUUUGAACGGUGAAAAAUGGAUCAAAAUUGUGACAAAAUUUACAAUGAUUAAUCAAACAGCAAAACUUUUUGUAUAUAACUAACACAAGCACUGAAACAUAUUACAUAUAUAUAUAUAUAUAUAUAUAUAUAUAUAUAUAUAAAUGGAGUUGAUUUUCAAAAAUAAUGGUUAAAUUAAUUUUGUUGAGGUAUAAUGGAUUGAAAUUCUGUCCGAUGCAAUGGAGAGGAAUCUAGUUCCAUUAAAAUGUGCGGUGUUUUGCAGGUACCAUACUUUAAUAGCUAGAAUAUUUGUAAUCCAUGACCAAUCAGAUAUUGAAAUUUGAGACCGGAUGGAGAAACCUGAUUCCAAAUUCCAACUGUGAACAUUUUCUGUUUUUACUACUCAAUUGCGAACCAAAUCAUGACACCUUGGGUGUUCCGAGUCUCUUUUACAUCUUGCCCACCACAGGCCACUGUACAAAAAUUCCAACUUUCGAUUACAACCGCGAAGAAAGAAUCUAAGGAUGCAUGGACAUAUCCUAAUGAUCAAAGGGGCUCAUUUGCACGAGUUUGAUCCCUAUGAUAGUAUCACUUUUCUCCUGAAAUUUAAUUUGUAUUAUGCUUUUUACAAAAGGAGAGGAAUAAAAAAACCAACAAACAAAUUUAAAGAUCCGAAAAAUUAGGGAUUCCUAUUUCACAUUAUGCGUGAGAAAACCUGCUUUUGAUUUUUGCCGUUUUUAAGGACUUAAAAAAUGGCAGAAUUAGAUGCGGAUUGUGAGCUUUUUUUUUCUUUUUUUUUUUUGAGUGGGAGUUUUUGAACAAAAAAUAUUCUAAUUAUAAUCCCUCGCUCCUCACAUUCUUAUGUUUGGAUAGAGCAUUAUUUCAAAUAAUUAUUUGGAAUAAUUACUGUAGCACUUUUUGUGAUGUGAUGUAUGUGAGAUAAAAAGGUGAUUGAAAAUAUAAAAAAGUGAAUUGGAAAAUGUGUUUAUGAUGCAAGCGAAAAAAAUUUUUGGAAAAAUUUGCUAUCCAAACAUGAGUAAAGUUUCACUGUUGAUCCAUAUCCACACUCUUUCAAAAACAUUAAAAGAAAUAAAAAUAGAAAAGCAAGUACUUGUGAUUUUUAUUUUUUAGACACACUAUCAAUAAUAUUACUUGUUUUCGAUGAAAGUUGAAGUGGACAUAUAAUAUAAGUGGUGCAAGUUUCUAACCUGAUCCGCGAAAUUCAAAGAAAAAACAGUCCGCAAUGAUCUAUGCUAGACUAGCAACAAACAUGCAAUCCAACUCCAAAUGCAAAUAAUUUUGAACAGGGCAGGGAGGAUUUGAUUGGACCAUAAGAAGAGAUUAUGAGUAGGAAGUUUUAAGUUCAAUACCUCUCGUUUAUAAAAAUGAAAAAAAUUAAAUAAUUUUUGACAGCCUUUUUUUUUUCCAUGGUUAAGAAGCAUUUGGUUAAGUAGAAAAGACGAAAUGAAGGGAAGGAAAUGGGUGAUUUGACGGGGUUAAUUGUCGGUCAAAGAAAAAGUCUGGAAGUUGGGUUGGGUGGUGGCAUGACAUGAGGUGGGAGCCACACAGUGGAAGAAACGGUGGAAAACCAUCAUUGAGGAGGGAGGACAUUGUCAUCAUUUGCACGUGUCCCAUGGACCACCAUUUUUUUGAUUUCAUUCCCCAUUCCAAUUCCCCCCAAUUCCUAAUUCCCAUUCCUCUUCCCCGUCUUCAUCGGGUCCUCCGUUUCAUAAUCCUAUUCUUGCUCCUGCUCCCUAGAAAGAGCAGGUCACCAACAUUUCGGCUGGCACCGCCGCGUAGGGCCUCCGCCUCCGAUUUCCAUCGUCAUAGUUGGACUUGGGGUCAGGGAUAACUCACUCUCAGUUCGACACUCUAGAGUUAUUCAUCCAAAAAGUGUUUUACCCAUUAAGAUUUGAUGUACGUUUAGAGUACGAAAUAUAUAAUCAAUUGCAUUACGUCCAUUUUCACUUUAGACACUUAUCAGAUUUAAUUUUACAUUUUUUAAAACUAAGAUCCUUUUUGAAUUUACUAUUUUUAGAACUUUUUAUAGAGAAAUGUAUUAUAAUGAAUUUGAUGUAUGUGAGACUAGGGAUACGAACGAACAUAAUCAAACCGAACACCAUAGUAUUUAAACUUCUUUAAUUAUUUUAUUGAAUUUGAAAUUGUGUUGCAACUUGGUUUGUUUAUCUAUCAAGUCGAACUCAAACGAAUUUUAUGGAGUUGAGUUCGAAUAUUUUGAAUAUUUUACUUUUAAAUUUUAAUUUUAUGCUAAUCGAGCCAAACUUGAGCCGAGUUUGGAAAAUUAUCGAAAGUAAAAUAUUGUUCAAGAUUACUUUGAUUAGUUGAAUAAACUCUUGUCGAGGCGAACUCGAUUUGAGUAUUGAGUAGUAUGACUUGUUUUUUAACCUUGCAUGAGAUAAAAAGAUAAUUAGAAAAUGUGUUAAGAAAUAUUUUCAUUUUUUUUUAACAAAAACUAGCAAUUCAAACAUCACCUAACACUUGCUGAAACACUUACUAGACAAUACCAAAUUAAUUUACCUCCCCUACAAAGAAUUACUAUGAAGUACAGUAGCUAGAUACUCGUAAGAAUAUAUAUAUAUAUAUAUAUAUAUAUAUAUAUAUAUAGACACACAUACACACACACAAAGAGUGUAACGGCCGGUGGGGAGGGCAAUUGUUCUUCCAAUAGUUCAAAAAUCCUUCUAUAUCUGUCUAAAAUGUUAAAAAUUCUCAUCUACAUCCUUGUAAAUAUUACAUUUUAGCCCCAAUUUUUUUUUUACAAGAAUAUAAGAGUGCCUCCUAAGUAUACCUCUUCACCAGUCCUGUCCCUAAGUCCCAACUUCUGGUUCCAUCAGUGCUAUCAGACACGUAUUGAGGCCUUUGUUACGUCUCACCAACAUUAUGCCAUGUGAUCUAGAGGCAUUUUUUUUUUUUGUUUCUAAGUACGGCGGAUAACGGCUUUACAGUCAAGAUUUCAGCUUUCAUGAUAGGAUAUCUGAAUCCCACAGAGAAUGUUUUUUUUUUUUGUAGCAUUUGAUCAACGGUACAUUCUUUCAGGUUAUGGUCGUCUGGAUACUUUUGUUUCACGCUCUAGAUGAGCCACGAACACCACAAACCAAGAAUUGAGGAAUGUAGUGCAUGCAGAAUUUGCAGGAGACCAUCUAUGAUGCACAUGUACCCCACACUUAUUAACCUACUUUAGAUUGUGUCUGUCUCGACCUAUAUAGCAUUCCAAUAUACAAAUGUCUUUAAAGUAUUUCCGAGUUUCUUGAUCAUCUAAUAAGGAAACUAUAGAAAAGAAACGAGAGAGUAAAAAAAAAGGAAGAUGGAUGCAUGGUUGACGCAGCAGACGAUUUUUACAACUUAGAAUUGAAAAGGGUAAAGGGACGAUGGACCUUUUGAAUGAACAUGGAAUAACUCGGGAGGUUUAAGAACUACAUACCCUUGAUUUAUGAGACGGGUUGACCGGAGGCAACAUCAGGAACGAGGAAAGAAAAGAAUUGACAGCAGGUGGCAGUUUCAGUCUCAAUCUUGAUUGUACUGGAGAACCGCUUCAAGGGUCUUCCCCUCAAUUUGAUUGAUAUUCUUGAAUAUUUAAGGGUUUUAUCCAGAUUUUAGACAAAGACGUAAAAACUUUACUUGUUGAAAUGAGAAUCAAAUUCAGCUCCUAAUCAUGCCCGGCCACCAAAACAUGCUUCACUUAAAUUCAGGAAAAACUGCAGAUCCUUUUAGUAUAUUGUAUAUGCAGAUGAAAAACCCUCUGGUAUUUACCAUGUCAUAUGUAUUCUCGAAUUAAUGUUUAAUCAGGAUUCUAUAUACUUUUCCAUUUGAAGCAAUUCAAGGCUGUCGGUAAGAUUUAACAAAAAAAAAGGCUCAUCAUAAACAUGAUUAGUAUUCUAGUUUAAUUUUUUUUUAAAGAAAAAAAUAAAGAAAGGGAAUGAUUUAAGGAUGCCAUCUUCAGUCACUUUUGCCAAUGACUUUAUAUUUCCAUACCCUGGUUCUCGUUUUGAUUGGAAACCUUUUUAGCUUGGGAAUUGAUGGAAAACAAUCACCGAUGCAAUUGCUACUAACCAUUGAUUCUAAAUCAUGUCAUAAGUAUAUGCCAGAUAAAGUUAAUGCGAGAGGGCAUCAUUUCUCUGAUUGAAAUUCAUUCCAAGUUAGAUGUUUUACACGGGCAUCUUUUCAUCAUAUGAUGAGUUUGGUUCGUGACCUAAAUGUUCCAUGGAGUAAGUCUCUUUUCUCCCUCUUUUUCCUCUUCCUUUCCACUUUUUCCCCCCCAAAAAGAGAAAAAGAAUGUAUCAUGUGUACUCAUGGAUGGAUGAGUAACAUGAGGGCACAGUGAUCAGAUGUCAUGUCUUGUAAGGGAAAGUGGGCGCAAAUGUGCUUAGAAAGGGAUUUUUCUUAGGAGAAGGGCGUAAAUGGAUGACAGUCCAAAAACAAUUAAGUUGGUGAAUUGAUGGCACUGAAAGAUCCUCCCAAUGCAAACUUUUUCUCUCCUUUCUUUCAUUUUAUUCUCUCUUGUUUUUUUUUUUCCUUUGCUUUGCUUUUUGUUGCUGCUGCUGCUUCAUUUCAUGCCUUUUUCUUUAUUCAUCAUCUGAGUUUUUUUUAACCCCUUUGUGGCGCUUGCACAAACUCAAAAGAGUUAAAUCUUGACUCCCUACAAAGUCCAAAUGUCUCUUUCACUUCCUUUUCAUUUCCCACUAUGAAAUGCUAUUCCCAAGUUCUACCCCACUCCUCUACCAAGUGCAGAAAAGAUCACACUCCAAUCACAUUUUUUUUUCUUUUUUUUGAAAAAAAAAAACUCGGAAAGAGGGUUUCCCGCCAAAUGAACUCAAGGCUCUUUCCUAGAACGCAACACACCAUGAUCGAAGUCAACAUAAAUCAUCAUUUAUCAUCAAGCCAGACAACAUCCCAUACUCUACUCCGAGUUAGUCAAAAAGAAAACAGAAAUUCGAAAGAUAUUCUUAUGGAUAUGAAGAUUAAACUUGAACCAAACGAAUCCACACAUAUUUCUUGAUUAGGAACUCGGAAGUGCACGUGAAUAAAAUUAGUAAAACAUCCUGGUUUCGUUUAUAUCAGAAUAUUCCAUUUCUCACUGUCAAAUGUUUGUUCUAACUUCUAACCCACACCACCCCCUCCUCCCCCGAAAAAAAAGAAGAAGCUAAUUCACUAACAGUCAAACUAGGCUCAAUUCAAUUAAAGGUCGACCAAUUUAAUAAGGGUAAAUUUUAUAUACAUUAAUAGUGUAUAUAUUAUCAUCAUUAGAUUCAUGACAUAUGUAUAAAAGUUGGAUUUCAAAUUCAAAUUUUACAUAUUUAUUAUUUAUUCAAGACUGACAGUGUACAUACUGUCAGUGCAGGAAAGAUUAAUCAAUUUAAUAAUACUACAUAAAUAGUUUACAUUAUGAUAAUUAUCCAUGUUUAAAAUUAGCAAAGUUUUAUGAAACAAUUGGGCACGUUUUGCUAAUAAUUUUUUAAUUAUAGUAACUAUAUGAGGAUAUUUUCUUGUGCUUAUGUAAUUGUUGAAAACGCGUACGUAAAAAAUUGUGUAAUUAUUUUCCAAACAAUUCAGAUUGGCUCAAAUAUAUGGGCUACAUAAUUGGGCCUAAUAGAACGUGAACUUUGAAUGGGCCCAUCCCAAGCCAACAAAAUAGGGGUUUCUGGGGCUAGGAAGGACUUGUUGAAAGUUGAAACUGGCCUCAUUAGGCCCAAUGUAGUCUGUUUUAGGCCUGUGUAUAUGUGAUUAUCUGAAUAUAAAAACACCUCUAUAUGAAUAUAUGUAUUUAUAUCUAUAUUAGUAUAUUACUGCCAUUAUAGUAUAUAUACAUGUACAUGAACAAUGAAAUUUUGAUACAUAUGUACAUGCCUAUACAUAUGUUGACACGUAUAUUGCACAGUUGCACACACAAACAUACAAAAAAAGGUUCCUAUUUAAAAAUUGUCAAAUUGGCAAAAUAAAAGUUUGAGCUGUUUAAGUUUCAGUAACUAUUAUGGGCGACAACAUGUUAAUAGAUCGUAAAUUAUUUAUAGGAAUAUAUAUAUAGAUUAUCCGCUAAUACACCUCUGACAUUAAAAACAAAAAUUUAAAUAUACGAUAUUUUGCAAGAAAGUGAUUCAUAAUUGAACCAACGCGUAUUCGCAUCACAUUAUGCACAAAGAUAACUUCCUGGUUUAACGACCACUUGAUUUGCCUACUCUCUAAGUAGAGAAAAGAAAAGAUGAUGAGUGAAAACAAAGUAUUGUAGUGCCCAGGAUCAAGUUCUGGACACCCCCGGGUUGCCAUUUUUUGAUCUCAAAUGUGUCAUUUUCCGUAAGAUGUAAUUUUGCAGGUUUGAAAGCAGAAUCACUUGCUCUGGAUCAUUGCCAGUCUCUGUGACGAACAACAAUCUUUUUUGAGAACGAACCUGUGCUUUCGCUUUAUUCCUUAAAAAAAAAAAAUUAGUAUCUUAAAAUGAAACUUCUAAAUUACUAGUUCUAAUUAGUUCUCCAGCAUACCCAAAACAACUUUCCCUUCCAUCAUUCCAGCGCAUUCACCAUGGUAAUGAGACUGUUUUCUUCAACACCAGAAACAAAAUGUUGAUCAUACAUUUACAGGAUUAUGAUUACUUGACGAUGAAUUUGUAGGUACUUUUAACUAGGAUCAUUUUGAUGUCUGCCCGCUUUUUACAUUGAAUGUUCUGGUGGCAUGCGUUUAUUUGCAUAGCAAGAAGUGCUCUAGCAGUCUUCUGUUAAACUGCAUUUGUCAAGUGGCCCUUCAUUUCUAUACACAUCAAGCGUCAUGGGGCACCUAUUUUUUAAUAUGUGGUCAUCAUGUUAAUUCAGAAGACUAGAAGCUGAAAGACACACAUUAAUUUGGAAAUUAAAAGAAGCUGUGCAUAAAAAUGGAAGGGUUGUCAAAUGUUUGACAUGUUAAAUGCCCAACCUAGGAAAAGAAGAUCAAGGUGGGCACACUGGGCACCACAACGAUAACAACAUAGCCAUAAUUGGUUUUGUUAAUCUUGGGUAUGGAACUUUAACUAGGAUAUGUUCAGUUUUGGCAUAAGAUUUCUUAUACUUGUCUGAAUGACACCUUUGUUUGUUUGUUUGGAUUGUGACUUUUCGUGAACACAUUUUUUGAUCACUUUUUAAUCUAACAUACGUCAAAUUGUUACGGUACAUUUUCCUACGAUACGUUUAUUCUCAAUGUCAAGAUUUGGAGCUAUCCAUCCACUUGUGGUCUGUUUAGCACCAUUCAGUGACUAUAGGAGAUGAGGCGAUUCAAACCAUUAAAGUAAGCAAGUGUUUGACAGUCAUCUAUAGGAAGAUAGAUAUGUUACAUCUCUACCAAUUUCUGUCGGGUUCAAUUGAAGUUGUUGCUUUCCACACACCACAACCACCACCGCCACCACCCCUAACAUAAAAUACAAAAAGGUACUAGUUGAUAUCAAUUAUAUCAAGUGAGCUAAUUUAUGUCAAACUUAGUGGACUUGAUAAAAAAAGCUUAAAUUGUUUGGGCCAAUUGGACUAAGCAUGGGUACUUUUCAGAACGAGGAAGUCAUCAUGGGUAUCCCAUUUUCUAUCAAUGUCGAUGGAUUGGCGCAUGAGAUCAGAUCUUGAACAUCAUAGCCCAGAAACCACUCUGAACCGAAAAAAAAAAAUUUGCAAAUUGAACUAGUAGUACUAUCUGGCAAAUGCCUCGCUUCAGUUCACAGAAUUAUUUUGGGAGAUCUUUGGUUGGAAUUUCAUCUUAUUAUUUCUGCAGCAAUAUUACAAAUGAUUUAGCAAUUGAUUGGAAAACGACCGAACGGGAUAGGACGUUAGCAACAGUGUACAUUAAUGCAGAUAGGAUUUCGAAGUUAUGAUGGUCCGGUUAUUGAAUCUUAUUAAAGGGACAGCUUACACCAUUCUUCUGGUAUGUUGUUCCUGGGACGGGUAUCUGCUUUUCAUCUCAAUUCUUGAAGAUGUGCCCACCAAAUUUUUGCUGAUCAGUUCCCCAGUUUUCUACAGCCUACAAAGGGAAUUGGAUUAAAUUUGGUAAUUCAACAGACAAUAUCAAGAUGUGCCUAUAAAAGCCCAGCAAAACCAAUUUUCAGAAACGUUAAAUGCUCUGAAUUGAGUCCAUCAAGCAAUUUAUUUUCUUGGUGUUUUUCGAUUUAUAAUAUUGGGUCCACUUUGAUCAUAUUUUAAUAGUAGGAGAGGCAGCAUUGGAACACAUUUUGUCGCCCAAGGAGCAGGACCAAUUUAAAUAUUCAACGGACGGACUCAAUCAAUGCAUGCAAAAUCAGCAGUGGGAAAACGCCAAACCUUUCUUAGUUUGCUUUCAAGUCUAGGAAUUUACUGCAACCUGAUAAUCAAGAAGGUAUUAUUAUUGAAAGUGAAGUCUACAGUGUAAUUGAUAAGACGUUUCAUCUGUGAUUGAAAAGCUAUGAUUUCAGUAAGUGGGAUUCACUUAUUCUCAUGAACAAUAAAGUGCAUUGUAAUUGAUAGAACUUUUUUUCUCGGGAUUGAGGGGUUACGUGUUCAAUAAGUGGGAUUCAUCCUCUUUAAUAACAAGACAACAACAAUAAUAAUAAUAAUAAAAAGAAUGUGUCAUUACUCAAGGUCUUCGAUUCAUGUCCCUCUAUUUCAUCUCCACAUCUUAAAUAUUUUAGUUAAAUUCAACUCCUUCUUUUUUUAAAAAAAAAACUAUAUAUAUAUAUAUAUAUAAAAAAAAAGGGUUUCACUUUCAUAACCACGGUCAAAUGACCCGGGAUACUCCAUUGCACCUACCAAAUCAAAAUCGAAGGGUGUUGCUUAAGCUAGAGGCCAUCACUUCAGCAAGAAAACAGACCCGUGUCAGAUUCUUUGUCAAUCCUUAUUCUGAGUUUUGCUUGGAAGCAAUUUGCAACUUUUGCAGGGUUACCUUUGGUUUCGACUUUGGGCUGGUAAAUGAGAAGUUGUCGUUUUCAUAGGACGUUUAAAUCAUAGGAUUUGUGUAAUCACAAAAACUAUGAAAUUCGAGGACAUCAAAACUCUCAAGAUUUCCAUUUGGAUUGUAAUUUUUAGGAUUUUUUUUUUUUUUCCAAUUCCGCGUGUGUGGAUCCUAAUAAUCCUUGAAUUUAUCUUCCAUAAAGACUGUCUACGGUCGUAACCCCAAGUGUACAGUCUUUUAAGGACAACCCGAGGAGCCGGCCGGCCAGCCAGUUGAGCAGGCAACUGGACAAAAAUCUUUUAAGAUCGAUUUUUCCUCCCUCAUUUUAUGAGUUAGUUCAGGGACUGCAAAUCCUAACCGCCGGACAAAAACAGUCGUACUAACUUAGAUCGCGUACAAAUCAAACAAAAAAUUCCAAAAGCAAGCAAAAAUAAGCACCCCCGCUCCUUACUUACCCAAAUAAAAUAAAACCAAAGGCGGCAAUAUUUAAUUGGAACGCCCUUGGCGGCUUUGCGCAACAUAGUAAGUAAUAAAAUACCAACAUAGGAAAAGGACCGCCAAAAACAGGGAACGUCUAAACAACCCUUUUUUCUUAUUCUUUUUUUUGGGUAGCUUGACUCUCAAAAAUACCAGAUUCCUUUCUGUUUCCAUGAAACUGAAAACUGAAAUCUGAUAUAUUUGAGUAUAUAUCACAUUAAGUGAUAAGCGAAAAACUUAUUGCUUAUUUCUUGGAAGCAAGUUUUACCUAACAAAUCUAAUGUCAUUUAAUUAAUUCAGAUGUUAUCAAAAUGUCUGAAUAUGUUAAGAUCUGAAUUCAUUAAUUUUAAAUGUUGAAUUAGAUUAUGAACUUAGUGUUUUUUUUUUAUUAUUUGGGUGGUCGGUCCAUACAUACAACAGUUCAUAGGGUGGCCAAAGGCAUCUAAACAAAUGCCAUACAUAUUAAGUUGCCAUUUGUACUUUUUAAGAUUAAAAAAAGCCAAGAAAGAAGACUAGUAAAUUGCUCACCGCCCACCUCCCCAUCAUGCAAUGCUCCACUACCAAACAAGCCUUUUCAAAGCUUCCACCAUCUCUUGAAAGCGAUUGAAACAUGAAACCACUACUACUUGCAAUGCUUAAUCGAUCCCAUUUUUUUUAACCCUUUCAGAGAGUCUUAGGUAAGUGUGUGUUUUUUCGUGGCUGGUGGCAUCCUGCAGUAUCCACAGGACGUCACAGGUAGCGCUUGGGACGCCAAGCUUGUACCCUUAUCUUCUUCUUAUCUUUUCUUUCGUAUGGCAACUGAAUGUAGGCCAUAGCUGCUGUUCCUUUAUCAUCUCAUUAUUCCGAUGGUCUCCAUCCUCGGCACCUCCUUAAUUUCCAAUAUUAUCACCCAAGCCUCAUACAAAAAACUUUCAAUGAAACAGUACAAAAAAUCAUGAAAACUGUCAAAGAAUUCAAGAACCAGGUGUCCUGAAUUUAUAUAUAUAUAUUAAAAAAAAAAAAAGUAAGUAAGCGAUCCACCUCCCAGAUCAAAUAAACAACGAAAAUCGAACUUCAUCAGAGAGGGAAUUAAUUAGUAAAUGAUUCAUUCAGGACUUAAUUAGGCUAUAUAGAUGGUUUAUCAUCUUUAAUCCUCAUAAAAUUUCACAACUAUAUGUAAUAGAAUUUAAGCAACAUAUAAUCCCUUUGGAUUAUACAUCUCAAAACAUCGAUUCCAAUGAGAAAUCUUUUCACUAACAGCCGCGAAAUCAUAAGUUACACGCACUACCCUCCAAGAAUAUAGCAUACUCUCUUUUAGUCCAUCGUCUUUUCGCCCCGUUACAGCUCUAUGUCUCCCUUCGGAGGUCAUCUCUAGUUCCUGAUCAUCUUGCUUGUCGCCAAGAAAACAGAAAAGCCAUCAAAGUAGUUGUCCUCGACAUCGUUUUUCAGUUGUCGUCAGAAGUUUCCGGGCUAGGAUAUUCAUUCAAGUCAGGCUUCUCCAGGCGAGGAGGAGUAGAAUUGGAUUUUGUCGAAGAAGCAUGCACUGCAGUUUGUUGAAGCGCAUCAACUCUGGCUCCGACCUCAGUAGCUCUCUUUCUAAUAGCAGCCGCAGACAAGUCAUGCAGCUCAUCAUCUUCAACUAUGCAUUCAGGGAAGUUAAGCCUCGCCGAAGGGCCUCUAAGGUAGAAGACGGCGGUGUCGUAAGCCCGCGCCGCUGCCACCGGAGAAGAGUAGGAGCCAAGCCAUAUUCUGGACCUCUUGUUAGGCUCCCUAAUCUCAGCCACCCAUUUACCCCACUUUCUCAUCCUUAUUCCUCUGUAGGGUUUCUCCUGUUGGUGAUGAUUUUCCCUUUCCUUUCUUUUCUCUGUGCUUGAACAACACCCUCCUUCCAUAUCACCCGAUAGGUAAAAACGAAGAAGAAAAAGAACCCUUUUUUUUUUUCUUUUUCUUCUUUUGUUCUUGAAGAAAUCAGCUAUCAGUCUGUGGGUGACCUGCUCACCCGAAAAGAAAGAAAGAAAGAAAGAAAGAAAGAAAGAAGAAUUGAGGAGAAGAUUCUGUUUUAGGUAGAUAACAACUGUCCAAGGAAAAAGCUUGCCUUAGGAGGGCCAAUCAUAUUUAUAUGGAGGUGGGAGAGAAUACAGACACAGUUAUUAUAAGUAUGAUGAAAUAUAUAUUGUAUAGAGCUUUUAUACAUAUAUAUACGUGGACAGAGAAAUGAAUUCAGGGGGUGGCGACUGGCGAAUCAUGAAUGGAAGAAAGCAGGAAUGAUGAGUUAUGAUUGAGGAGGAAAGGAGGGGAAGGAGUGCAUAACAGCACGCAUUAGAGAGGGGGAUUUCUUACUUGGCUGCUAGUCUGUCGUCUGGGCUCGGCCGCCACGUUGAUUGAUCUUCCUUAAAGAUAAGUACAAAUUUGGCCGACAUAGUCCAUCGCUUCAUUCACUUCCUUCCCUUUUUUUUUUUUUUUUUUCCUUAUUUUAGGGUCGCCUCUCCCUCCCUCAUGCAAGAGCCUUUUUUUUUUUUUCUCCUUUUAGAUUUUCUUUAAUUCUCUACGCUUCGUUUGAAAGGUGAAGAUUUGAAGAGCUGAAAAUUGAUUUAGGGAGAAAGUUGCAUCCGUUAUCUCAUUUGAGAGGCGAACCUAGAGGGAAAAAAAUGGAAAUGGAGGAUGCCAAAUCGCUCCAAACAGUGAAGUGUCUUCUUACAAUGAAUGGAAGUAAAGAAAAGGAUAGGGAAGGCAAUAAGUGAAUAUUUCCAUGUAACUAUAUAGCUCUCAGAAGUUGAAUCCGAGUUAUUUACGAGUUUAUGCAGUCAAAAUUAAAGUGUGAGCAGCUCGAAUGGUUUGAGAAUUUGAGUUCCAAACUUAUCAUUCAAGUUAUUGAACUUAAUUGAACUCAAUCAAACUUUAAAUUUGUAUAUUUUUUUUGAAUUCUUCAUAUUUAUUAGUGUAAAAUGUCUAUCAUGUCCUUGUUUAAAAGUGUAUAAAUAUUAAUUUAUAUCAGUUGAACUCGAUUGUAGAGCUAGAUCCAAUUUGAGCACGAAUAACUUGUAAUCUAAUCUAACUCGAGCUAAAACUAAAGUUUUAAGAGCUCAAAUAGUUUGACUUCAAACUAGAGUUCAAGUAUUUUAGGUUGAGUUGCACUCUAAUAAUACAGUGCUUGAACUCGACUCAAUUUACUUGCCCCUAUUCCUACUAUUGUCCUUUAAAAAGUCAAAUCUUCUCAACCGAAGGGGCAAACAUGUAAAAACAUAUUACAACAUUUUAGUUUUUUAUAUGUUAAACUCUCAAAAAACUCAGAAAAAAAAAAAAAAUAGAAAUCAUUUCUCUUUUGUCCUUUUUCCUCAUAACUUGCUCUUUCUUUUCUUUUCCUUUAACUCUAGGAAAAUCGUUCAAACAUUUCUCAUAUUUCGACAAAUGAAUUUUUUAUCUUUCACUUUUAAAAUGUUAUUUUACAUCUCUUAUAAAAUUAAGUAGGUCAAAUAUGAUCUCACCCUAAGUUUUUUACUACUUUUUAGUCUAAAUACAACCAUGUGAUGUACACGUGAUAAUGUUUAUAGGUUCAAAAAGGUCAGAUCCCGUUUGUAUUUAAACUUAUUACUCGACCUACGUUCAUUUUUGUCCCUAACAAAUGUGCAAUUAAUCAAAUUACCUUAUCCACAACUAUUUUUACCCCUAAAAACAUGACGCUUGAUCUUUUUACACCUAAAAAAAAAAUAAUCACAUGUGGGUCAUGUGAUGAAUUCAGAUUAAAAUGUAAUCGAAAACCUAAGUUAGGAUCAAAUUUAGCCUGACUUAAUUUUGCAAAGAACAUAAAGUCAGCAUUUUAAAAGUGAAGAACGAAAAAAUUAUUUAAAAAAAAUGUGAGAACGUUUUAAACAAUUUUCCCCAUGCUAAACUGGCUAACAAGGCCUUAAGGAAACCAAAGCGGCAAAAAUGUGUUCUUCUCGCAUAAAAUCUUGGGGUUAUGACUUUUAUUUGGAAUACAAUUUUACAAAUGCAUCUUUUUCUUGGACAAUGUACACUUAAGUUCGUCGAUUGGAAAAGUAAAACCUUGCACCUGCUCGUAUAAUCGAACCUCUUUGAAUUUGUUUGAGAUGAAAAAUCUGUAGAAGGCUAGGCUAUCUCCUCGGAAUCAAUUCUGAUGAUUAUAAGUAAGAAAAGUUCCAACAAAGAAAGUAGUUUUUAGAUAGAGGUUCCGAAAUCACCAUUACCUCUCUUCCUUGGCGACCUACUACUUUUAUUUACCUUUGCACAAUUUUUCACGUUGAGACCUCAAGAUCGAGAUCUCAUGAUAACAUGUCAAAUUGAAAUCUGCUCAACCUUUUUAUAGUCAGUUCGUGACUCAUCAAUCUUUUAAAUGAUUUAAUUUGCAUGUCAUGAUAGUUGUCAAGACACAGAUCACCUUUGCAUGAUCUCCACUCGUUACCUAUUUUCUAUUUUUCCUCUCCUUUCAUCGAUUUAGGAUCAAGAUGCGUGGAUUUAUUUCUUUCCUAACAUAGUCUAGAGUGAUCUUCGUUCGCUGCAGUUAUGAUAUUGUGUACAAGGGGAGUGCAAUGUUGCUUAAACAUAAGUCUAGAUUCUCCAGAAUGAUAGUCAUCCACAACCGUGGGCGAUUUUGUAUGGUAUGGGGCCUACGUUGCUUUCUUUCCUACUCCACGUAGAAGCGGGGGAAGCUUUUUGCUAUCUGCCGACGUGGAUGGGGCUGGGUUCCGCUUCUACUACGCAAGCUCAAAUCACGUAUGACGUAACCCUCUGGUUUCAUUUUGUCAACAUUACCAAUAAUACUCGUAUAAGAGUAGAAUUAUGUUAUCAAGAAAGGGUGUGCGUAUACAUAUACAUAUACAUAUAUGUAUGUAUUUGGGUGUGUACACACUUCUAUAUGGUAUAAGGAACAAUGAACUUGGUUUGAGAAAAAAUUGUGGGGUUUGUCCAAGUGAUCAUGAUGAUGAUUACAGCAUGUUGACAGUGGUUUACAAAUUUUUUUUUUUUUUUUUUGGGUUUUUCGUAUUCUCUUAAGAGGAGUAUAGGUUAGAAAGGGUUCACAAAUUCAUAUUAGUUUGUGGUUUAUACUUCAUACUUUGUGAAAUUUAUUCAGAAAACAAACAUGAUGGAUGACAUGAGGUGAGACAGGGAGAAACGGUAAAAGUAGGUCGGUGGUGGAUGACUAUUGAAAUUUCAGUAGUGUGUUGAGAAUUGAGAAUAUACGACUUUCCGUCCACGCAAUAAACAAAUCAAGAAACUGGAAAUUGAAGAUGUGAGAAUCAUCUAUUCCGUUCGAUUUCUAUUCUAUUCUAGUGGUCUUACGACUUCAAUUUUUCAAAACCUAAUUUUUAAGUCGGCAAUUUUGUGUUUGGUCAGGUUUUGUUGGUAGGAUGAGAUGUUGUGCUGAACCAAUUUAUACCGAUCACGCCACUAUUGAAUUUUCCUCCUCCUUUUUUUUUUUUUUUUUUUUUUUGGGUUUCAGAGGCAUGUUUCUCCAAUAUGAGAUAGAAGAGAAUAGCACAACGUGACCAGUAAAACAAAGUGACAAGAACGGACAACAGCUGAAACUUGGGGAUGUAGCCUGACUAGAGAUAAAGCUUGAAAGCUUGGCCACCUGCGUCAGCAAGCAAAAUAGGGGUGCCGACAGGUCGGUCCAUUCUAAGGCUACGGCCUAUGGGCAGCCACAGCCGCUGCUACACUACAGGCUGCUAAUAUUAUUGAGAAUGAUGGCGCCUUUCAACCGUCAGCCUCCUUUUCUUGGCCUCCAAAAAUCUGUUUAUGCCUUUUUACGCACUUGAUAGCGGCAGCAAAUGGGCAUGCUUUCAACUAGGCCAUGCUCAGCAUCAGCAGGAGUCCACAAGGGGACCAGCCGAAGAUGCAUCCUUCCUUAUAUGGCAAGUGUGUCGAUACAGAAGCUCUAAGCAUAGGAACCUGCUGCAUUAUUAAAACAUGACAAGAGACCUACUACCAUCCUCGACAAUUUUACGAUGUGGUAUGGUACUCCAUGUUGGCUGUGCAAUUACAUUAAUAUCCCAUUACACAAAUAAUAGGCAAAUCUUCUUCUUCUUCUUCUGCUGCUGCUGCUGUUGUUGUUACUGCAGACAAAUGAUUGAAAAAAAUCUCAGCAGCGUGGCCUCAAAAUCAGUAGUCUGGACAGAAGAAAAGCAAUUCCGGCAUUCAGGUACGCAACUACAAGCAAGGAGUUCAAAAGCCAGUUACUUUAGAAGCAUCCUUUUCAAAGAGGUGGUAUAAAAGAAUUACUUUCCUUACUUACACAGCCUCCAAAUUCAAUGGUCCAAACUGGUAAGAUAUUUAAUGCGAAUAUGAAUUAAGGCAGCCGUGUAGACCUGCGUUGGCACCAAAGCAACCGCAUCUAGCCAUCGAAGAUUUUGUUGGUACUACUUUUAUUUACCUUUGCACAAUUUUUCACGUUGAGACCUCAAGAUCGAGAUCUCAUGAUAACAUGUCAAAUUGAAAUCUGCUCAACCUUUUUAUAGUCAGUUCGUGACUCAUCAAUCUUUUAAAUGAUUUAAUUUGCAUGUCAUGAUAGUUGUCAAGACACAGAUCACCUUUGCAUGAUCUCCACUCGUUACCUAUUUUCUAUUUUUCCUCUCCUUUCAUCGAUUUAGGAUCAAGAUGCGUGGAUUUAUUUCUUUCCUAACAUAGUCUAGAGUGAUCUUCGUUCGCUGCAGUUAUGAUAUUGUGUACAAGGGGAGUGCAAUGUUGCUUAAACAUAAGUCUAGAUUCUCCAGAAUGAUAGUCAUCCACAACCGUGGGCGAUUUUGUAUGGUAUGGGGCCUACGUUGCUUUCUUUCCUACUCCACGUAGAAGCGGGGGGAAGCUUUUUGCUAUCUGCCGACGUGGAUGGGGCUGGGUUCCGCUUCUACUACGCAAGCUCAAAUCACGUAUGACGUAACCCUCUGGUUUCAUUUUGUCAACAUUACCAAUAAUACUCGUAUAAGAGUAGAAUUAUGUUAUCAAGAAAGGGUGUGCGUAUACAUAUACAUAUACAUAUAUGUAUGUAUUUGGGUGUGUACACACUUCUAUAUGGUAUAAGGAACAAUGAACUUGGUUUGAGAAAAAAUUGUGGGGUUUGUCCAAGUGAUCAUGAUGAUGAUUACAGCAUGUUGACAGUGGUUUACAAAUUUUUUUUUUUUUUUUGGGUUUUUCGUAUUCUCUUAAGAGGAGUAUAGGUUAGAAAGGGUUCACAAAUUCAUAUUAGUUUGUGGUUUAUACUUUAUACUUUGUGAAAUUUAUUCAGAAAACAAACAUGAUGGAUGACAUGAGGUGAGACGAGGGAGAAACGGUAAAAGUAGGUCGGUGGUGGAUGACUAUUGAAAUUUCAGUAGUGUGUUGAGAAUUGAGAAUAUACGACUUUCCGUCCACGCAAUAAACAAAUCAAGAAACUGGAAAUUGAAGAUGUGAGAAUCAUCUAUUCCGUUCGAUUUCUAUUCUAUUCUAGUGGUCUUACGACUUCAAUUUUUCCAAAACCUAAUUUUUAAGUCGGCAAUUUUGUGUUUGGUCAGGUUUUGUUGGUAGGAUGAGAUGUUGUGCUGAACCAAUUUAUACCGAUCACGCCACUAUUGAAUUUUCCUCCUCCUUUUUUUUUUUUUUUUUUUUUUUUUUUGGGUUUCAGAGGCAUGUUUCUCCAAUAUGAGAUAGAAGAGAAUAGCACAACGUGACCAGUAAAACAAAGUGACAAGAACGGAAAAACAGCUGAAACUUGGGGAUGUAGCCUGACUAGAGAUAAAGCUUGAAAGCUUGGCCACCUGCGUCAGCAAGCAAAAUAGGGGUUGCCGACAGGUCGGUCCAUUCUAAGGCUACGGCCUAUGGGCAGCCACAGCCGCUGCUACACUACAGGCUGCUAAUAUUAUUGAGAAUGAUGGCGCCCUUUCAACCGUCAGCCUCCUUUUCUUGGCCUCCAAAAAUCUGUUUAUGCCUUUUUACGCACUUGAUAGCGGCAGCAAAUGGGCAUGCUUUCAACUAGGCCAUGCUCAGCAUCAGCAGGAGUCCACAAGGGGACCAGCCGAAGAUGCAUCCUUCCUUAUAUGGCAAGUGUGUCGAUACAGAAGCUCUAAGCAUAGGAACCUGCUGCAUUAUUAAAACAUGACAAGAGACCUACUACCAUCCUCGACAAUUUUACGAUGUGGUAUGGUACUCCAUGUUGGCUGUGCAAUUACAUUAAUAUCCCAUUACACACAAAUAAUAGGCAAAUCUUCUUCUUCUUCUUCUGCUGCUGCUGCUGUUGUUGUUACUGCAGACAAAUGAUUGAAAAAAAUCUCAGCAGCGUGGCCUCAAAAUCAGUAGUCUGGACCGAAGAAAAGCAAUUCCGGCAUUCAGGUACGCAACUACAAGCAAGGAGUUCAAAAGCCAGUUACUUUAGAAGCAUCCUUUUCAAAGAGGUGGUAUAAAAGAAUUACUUUCCUUACUUACACAGCCUCCAAAUUUAAUGGUCCAAACUGGUAAGAUAUUUAAUGCGAAUAUGAAUUAAGGCAGCCGUGUAGACCUGCGUUGGCACCAAAGCAACCGCAUCUAGCCAUCGAAGAUUUUGUUGGCAUAGAAAUUUCUGUAUCCGACAAAAGAGUGUUGGAAUCUUACUCUGUUUGACAAAAGCAUUUCUUUGAAGCUAUUAGUAACCCAUAGAACAGAAAUCCUCAAUGAACGAACAUAUAGCCAUUCAAGUUUUAGCAUGGCUUCGGACAAACCCAUAUUUCACCAAACUAUAAUGGACCGCAAUAAAGAAUAUGAGAAACCCAAGUCAUGGCAAAUAAUUUAAUGGCCAACCAGUGAGAACAAAUCCAUUAUGCUUUAUCCUAUCUAACAUUGUAGCGACCAAAAAUCAUAAACUAUCAUCCCCUCAGCUGUGCCAACAAAUCUUUCAUGUUCAAGACAACUAAAGAAAGAAAAGAUUCUGUUACUACUAUCCGUAGCUUUUAGGAGUUCCUUUCUUAAACUGUGGUGGAUUUUAAUGUGCGUCACCUGCAAUGAGAAAAUGUGGGCCUAAGACAGCCGAUGAACUAAAAUAUAACUGGAGGAAGUAUUGUCUGCCACAACAUGCCAUAGAAUCAAAUGGGAGAAUAACUAACCUCGUGCAUAAGACCAGAAGUGAGAAAUGAUGAAACACAUAAACCUCCAUUUCUGCAACAUGACGGACACUAUAAUCCUCAACAUCCCAGAAUGAAAGGAAAAGCAAGACAACAUCAAGGACCUAAAGUAAGACUCAAAUCUGCAAUAGCACUGGAGAGCCAAAAAUGCAAGUUGAGAACCACUAUUACCAUCGUAAUCCCACUUUCAAAGAAAUGCAAGGGAUGCUCCAGAGAUUAAUACAUUAUUUCUCCAGAAAAAGGCAUAGGUAAUUAUUUAUAGAGGCCAACAGACUCGCAAAAGCUCGAUAUGCAUACCCCAGAUAAAUUAAAUAAGCACAUUAAACCACACCAAUCAUAAUCUCAAAUCACAGCACCCAAAGCCAACUAUUCACGAAUAUAACUUCCUUUGUAAGCUCCCCAAAAAAAAUUUUUUCCUUUGUAAAUAUUCAAACAAAAAAGGAAAAAAGAUUGCAUACCAGAGCAUGGCACCGGGAAAUUAAUGCCUAUAUGAUCAGAUAUUUCCUACUAUAAUCUCUUUGUACAGAUCAAGAGGCUAAGACCCAUAUAAAAUGUUGAAUAGUUGCUCUAUUUUGAACAAAGACACAGAACACUUUUAUAUUGCAACAAGUGAAAAGACAUUGGACCUUUCAAAAGCCAAUAGAGGUCCUGAAUGAUAUAUAUAGCUAUUUCAGUAAUAGGCAAUUCAAACACAUAAGAACUAGAUAUUCAAGAAUAUACUUUGCUGAAGCCUAAUGAAGUUUUUACAACAAAGCUUGUCAGUUGGUAGAAUUGUUCCUAAGAUGGCUGAUGCAUUUUUGAUAUGUUACUAGAUUACGCAUAUAGUGUGCUUCUCUUCUCCUUCUUUUGUUCUCUGUUUUUCUUUUUAAUUUUUCCCUAUUAUAGUUAACGUGCAUUCAAUAUACAUAAUAACCAGCUUUGUCAAAAAUGACUUAGCUGUGUGCCUGAUGCGUCUCUAAUGACUUAGUUACUUCUUCUUGUACCUUGGUCUUACAAUACCAGCAAAAGUAUGUUGUUUAUCUCUUACAUCUUUUUCCUUGUUUUCAUACCAUUAGUGGGGUCCGAAAAUUCUGACCCCUGUUUUGUUUUCAUUCUAGAGGAUGUGGUUCAAGUCAGUGCGAUGCUGAUCCUCAUGUCAAGAAUCUUUUUUACCGGUGGAUUAACAGAACAGGUCCUCCUAUGUGAAGAAGACAAACUGAACAACCUCUACAUGUCACCCAAAGAAGCCUGGAGCAAAGGCAGAGAUGACUGCAAAACCUUUCCAAUUAUCAAGGUUAAAAUCCAUAGCACUUCCACUUCAGAACAUAUUAUGUAGGUGGAUCACCACAUUGUGUUAUAUAACCAACUAGUGUGUUAAUAUGACUGAUGAAAUGCAAUAUUACUAAUUUAAUGACAAUCACCUGUCUAACAGUGAUUUCAGGUGACAAGAAGAGUCAAUGCAUUGCAAAACUCCCAACAUUCAUGAAAAAAACUAUUGCAUAUUUGCAAAUGAUGGCUUAAAAAAAUUAGAGAUAAUCAAUUGAUUAAUCUGCAUUAGGGGGAAAAAAUGCUCACAGUUAUACAUUUCUAGACAAAAGUCACAUAAAAGAAGCAAAGUCGCCAAGGUUUUGAAGUAUAGCCUAAAUACACUUAUUUUGAGGGAUCAAAGUACAUCAAUAAGAUCUUUGAAGCCACAUACAAGAUAAAACACAGAAACAGUCCUUGAAACAGCUGAAAUACAUCAAUUUCAAGUAACACCUCAUUGAUGGCAAAUAGAAGAUAAAACACAGAACAGUCCUUGAAAUAGCUAAAAUACAUCAAUUUCAAGUAACACCUCAUUGAUGGCAAAUAGAGGGGGGAACAGAAAAAUCUCUUUCAUAGAUAGCACAGCAUAACCUUUCUUGAAAUCACAUAUCCGCAGUGGGAAAUAAUUAAAUCUUUACGAAACGAUCAUGCAAGUCUAGCAAGGUACGUGGAAUAUUGUCGGUAGAAGAUUUGAAAAGUACACUACCAAAAGCAUCAACCUUCAGGAUACGGUCAUGUACAAGGUUGGUGUCCUGUCUUAAACACAUAGCAUUGGAAAAUGCAGUUAAAUAUCCCCGAGCAAGAACAGAAAAUGACCUGAUAAGUUCAACAAAAUUGUCUGGCAAAUCAAGAAUCCGAGCAGCUAAUUCCAUGUGCAGUUAGGAAUUAACUCUUGUUCCCAUUAUUAUCCCUUAAUUGAUACUUAGCAUGAAGCAGACAAAUCAGCGUUAAUCUCAUAUCAGGCCAUGCCAAAAAUAUCACACUACCGAACCAUUUACAGAAGCACAGUUUACCAGAAUUGCAAACCAUCCUCUUCUACCCCUUCCUCCUCACUGUCUAAAACAUAAUCUUCCUCCUCAGUGUACUCAUCAGGAUCUUCCUCGUCAUCAAUAGAAUUUUUUAGUCCAAUCUGAACAUAACCUCUUUGAUUCUCCCUCAGCCAGUCCUGUUCCUCUUCCCUGUCCUCAUCCUCUUCCUCCUCCCCUUCAGAAAAUGCCGAAAUUCUCAUUCCAUCAAAUUCCGUUGUCCCAACAAGCUGAUCCAUCAAGCUGUCUACACUCCCCUCCCCGUUUAAUCCCCCGUCAAACUCACUGACUGAAAACCUCCCAGUCCUCCUCCCUCCAGAUUCCCUCCUCCUCUUUAUCCGCGACACCAAAUCAUCCUCCUUAAUCUCCCCAUUCUCCACAUCAUUCCAUGGCACCCAUAAAUCCGCUUGCCUCCCUAAUGCUCUGUACCCAUCGCCAAUGACAACAGUCCCCAAAUUGGCCGCCCUCGCCCUCCUCAACAUCUCAGAAAAAUCUGAAUCAUCCGAAACCAAAAGCAACCAAUCAAUCCCUCUACUCAUAGAAUGCUGCAUUUGCCUUUUCAAUGCCCAGUCAGCAGCCUGUGGCUUAUCCUCCACCGUUUUCACAAACACCCCAGCUCGACUAAGCUCGGAGGCUAAUCCAUACCCAACUUUCGGCGAAGUCAAAGUCCUUGCAGCUUCAUUAUACUUCUCAUUGCCAUCAAUAAACCUUUCUUUAAAACGCUGUCGUUUCUUACCUUUCAAUGACCUCAUUCUGUUCAGCUUCUUUUGCCUCUCCCUCUCAUGCAACUGCCUAAAAUGCUUCUUUAAAUCCAAAUGUGUCUUACAUUUUCUCCCGCAAACAGAGCAAAUAUACGGUUCAGAAGGGGUAGAAACACCUUUCCUCUCAAGAAUGUCCAUACGCCGUUGUUCUCGGCGUUCUUCAACAACCCAUUGAGGCAAAUGAAUGAAAGCGUGUCGAUUAGCGUAAGCAGAGAUAUCAACCAGGUCGCCGAAAUGCUGGGCCACUUUUUUUAAGGCCAUCGCCGCCUGGUACGGCGGCCCGCGAGGGGGCUUGUUAUCUAAGUCCCAUAAGACCACUACUUUCUUAGGCUUAGCUGUGUAGAUGCCUUCUUUGGUUCUCACCAUAUCGAUUUCGCUCUCGGCUGCAGCUGCUGCUGCUGCACAGGCUCUGAUGUUGGCCCAUUUACCAGAUGAAUUGGGGUCGGAUAGGGAGAGGGGUUUUGGGGGUUUUUGGGGGGCGAAUUGCGGAAUGAGAAAAAGGGGUUUGGGGAAUCUGUAGUGGGAGAAUGGUGGAGAAUUUAGGUGGAUGAAUUCAAUGGAGGUGCAUAGGGAGUUAAUCAUGGUAAACUUUAUAGCUUAUGGGUUUUUGGCGGGGGAUUCCGGGAUUGUGUAGGUGGUCGCAGGGAAGAGGAAGGAGACCUUGUGGAAGUUGAGAUAAUUUCAGGAGGGAGAUGAGAAUAUUCUCUGCCUCCAAUAGCAGCAGCUGAAUGUUCGGGAAAUGCAGGUGCACGAAUCUUGUUGGUUCUGAAUCACGUCUUCAACAUGAACGCGCUUCGUCUUAUAUCAUACCCGUUCUGCGCCUUUGCCUUUCAUUUGGGGGAUUUUUUUUUCUUGGAUCAAUGUAUAGCUGAAAAACGCUCAAUGAUUACGCCAUGAUAUAUAUAUAUAUAAAGGUUUUGAAUGGAAAAAAAAAGCAUAUAUAGGUUUGCGAAAUUGGGAGAAUAUGAACUUGGAGGAGUGAGUAUGGUGUUCAAGGGAUCGAUGUUUUGUGCUGCGACCAAGUUGCCUUGGGCAUUUCCCGUUUUUCAAGUCAGCAAAUCACAAGUCUGUAGCAAUCCAAGUGAAGUCUCAAAUUGUUUACGCUCAAAAGGAUGAGCAGGUUUUAUCAUAUUACUGACAAAAGACUUCCUACAUAUUAUGCACUGCCAUCUCAUAUAUUAGAACGAACGAUCCAAAACAUUAUUGACAUUUCUGCGACAUUCAUUCAACUGCCCAGCGUCCUCCUGCUGUUGAAAAGUCCAUAACCGUUUUGUUUUGGAUUUGAGAUCCAAAACAAUUGGAGAGUGGAACCAACCAACGAAUGGGAGGAAUGGAACUUAAUCUGGAUUGUAGGGCGGGCAAAAGCGCAGAACUGCCAAACAAUUUUCAUUUGCCGGUGGUCCAAACUAGUCAUUACCACUUUACCAGUCGAGCAGAGGUGUUGGUGUCCUGAGCUGAGAUGGACCAGUGGUAAUGUGGGAGAGAGCCCAUAAGCAUAAAGGAGGAAGGUAGUAGGUACUAGUAGAACCUAACAAGUGGAUGUAAAAAGCCCAUUAUUCAGGUGUCUGUCUGCUGACACAUUGGUGACGUUGAGUGACAUCUCAAAUACUACAUACUUUUUGCGAUGUCCGAGAUUAAUCUUCAAUCAUGCCUUACUUCUCUAAUCAUUCUCCGGGAUACUUUUGUCCGGUUGGAAGAGGCAAAAUGGGAUGGACAAGCUCCUGUUUAGAUGGUUUUGCUUGCCUACUACUACCACAGUAGUAGUAAUAUUUAUCUUAACCCCAUAUGACUCAGUUUCCAAUAUUUGCUUUGCUUGCAGCAUCCAAUUUGUUUAUUUGGUGGGAUUCUUGUUCUUCCUUUUCUUUUUUCAUCUUGCAGCAGAGCAGCGCUUUUGUCGUAGCCAAAAUUACCGUUGUGCUUCGUGAAAGGGGAGGUCCUUUGCUUAAUUGAAUUCACACAUAAUUAAUGUAAAAUAUCAAAUACAUAAAAAUAUCAAAUUAGUGAUACAAUUAAUUACUGAGCUCUGGAUGAGAUAGUGACUAGCAUUUGGAAGGGAGCAAGCGUGUCAAAACCAUUUGUAAGUUUUGUUUUUCAACUUGACGUCAAUACAGGUUGGUUCAAUUAAUAAAAAAGUAACACUUCCUCACAAAAAUUGGUCCCAAUAUGAGGACUGUGUUGGUGUGCAAUUUAUAAGGAUUUCUGUAAGCGAUCUAUAGAUUCAGAGAUAUACUCUGAUCGGUAACGAUGAUUGAAAUCGAGCACACUCAAACUUUUCAUGAUAAUCAGAAAAAAAAAAUGCAUUUGUAACUUGCCAUAACAUAACGUUGUUCACUUGGCUGGUUCAAGUGCUCGGACUUGCCUGUGCGCUUCACUUGACUUCUUUCAUUCUCACAGCAAGUUUCCCGUCUCACCAAAAAAAUAAUAAUAAUAAAAUUAAAUGCUUUGAUUGCACUGUUUGAUGACAUCACUUUCUUACUUUUGGAUAAUUAUUCAAGGGACGGACAGCAGGAUGGAUGAGUCAGUAGUGUAUUAUAGUGGUGCUCUAUGGAGGAGAAUUUCAUACUGUUCUGUGCUUUUAUAAUAUCAUACUGAUGAUGUGUUAGAUUAAUAAUAAUAAUAAUUUGAGUAGAUGAGAAUUUGGUGGGAGAUGAUGUGGAUCAUUUAUGAUUGUGAUUCUCGGAUUUACAGGUUGUCUGGAUCCUGAAUGGCGUUGACGCCACCAUUAUUCUCUAACCUCCCAACAAUACAUUACUACUUUAAUUAAAUCACAUUUUAGUCAACCAAAUUUUUUUCAGGAUUGAAUUUGAAAAUCAGGCUUAUACUAGCCUAACGUGGAUUAGACAAUAAUUAAUAUUAUACUCAAGAAUCUCUAGUGAUGCUAAUUUUUUCUUUUUUUUGUCUUUUGUAACUAAGUGAAAUUUCUUGCGAACCAGCAAUACCCAACGACAAAAAAAGUUAGGUUCACUCAAGACUUCAAGAAAUGGGGCAGCUGCAACGCGUCCUUUAUUCAUUCCAGAUUAAGGCCUUGUUUGGAUUGCCGGUUUCCGUCGAAAAAUUACGUCGUUUUCUGUGAUCACAUUUCCCUAUUACCUUUUUCCCUCACAUACAUCAAAUCGCUACAGUAAUUUUUCCAUGAAAAAUCACGGAAAAUGCAAUCCAAACACAACCUAAGAUGUUUCAAAUCAAAUCUUGAAACGCACGCAAAUAUUUACCAUUGCCAAAACAAAAAAAAAAAGGCAUCAAAUAUCUUACGUUAAAAUUAUAAAGUAAAAUAUUUCGGUCCUGUCUAUUGAUUGUUAUCGGCCAAGAUUUUUAUUUUAUAUUUUUUGAAGUAGACAGCAUGCGUUAAUCAAACAGAAUCAUAUGUAUGUUAACUACUCCAUUAACUAAAAGAACCCAUCUGCUAAAAUUCUAAAUUCCCCCAGAAAAAGUUGCUUUCACAUUCACGAGGAAUAUUAUGCAAAUUUAAGAGACCUGAUGUACUUGUGAGGCCUCAAGACAAAAAACUAACUAUUUUCAAAAUUCCCUGCACUAAAAAAAAGAACAGAGAAUAAUUCACGCCUUUUGUUUCCAGGCUUAAGCAAAAUGAUUACUGCUUUCACUGGCCCCCCGGCCCCACCACCUGAAUAGAUUGAUUAUUCUAACCUCAAAUAGAUUUAACUGCUGUCGACAAAAAACUACCGUCACCCAACCAUCUUCCCUUGCGAUAAAUCUUUGCUCUUCCCUCGUUUGUCUUUUCCCUUUUUAACAUUUGUCUCCAUCGGUUCAUCCCCUUUUUGUUAGAAGUAAUCCACGCCUUUUUAAGAAUGUUUCAGCCUCUCUCUCUCUCUCUAUAUCUCUAUCUCUCCUUGUCCUUGAGGACCCUGACCAAGGUUUGGUUCUCUAGAAGGGCUGGCUUCGCACAAAAAUUGAUAGAUUGACUUCUCUACCCUUUGAAAAUGAAAUUGAAGUUAAUCAACAAUCCACGGCGCCCCACUAAUACUUUCACGCAUUAUCUUGAAGGUUUUCAACCUAGUCGUCCGGUUGCUUCUUUUACAUGCAACUGUGUAAAAGCGAUAACUUGGUUCGCAACUUGAACUAAAACGCCAUUUCGUUAAAGUUAAAAUAAUAAUUAAAAAAAAUCUACAUCUACCCACAAGUUGAUCUAAAAGACCAUCUUAGCAAAGUGAAGAAAAAAAAAGAAGAAAUCUGGUAAUAUAAGCAUCCUUUUUUUUUCCUUCUCUUUCAAGGAAGAUUUUUAAAUUUUGCAAAGAAUAUGGUAAAAGAAAGAAGGUUUGAGUGUUAAAUUAUGAACUUUACUAUUGGAACCUUGAUGCUUGGAUCUAUUUAACGGGUGCCCUCGUCGUUAAAAUAUGUUUCAGAUGUUAUAUUUUUGAUAAAUAUAAAAUUAAUUUUUUUUUAAAAAAAGUAAAUAAAUAUAAGGGAAGGUGAGUGAGAUUCGGUAGGAAAAAGCAUAUAAAUGCAAUGGAGGAUAAUAAUAAAUAUAUAAAUGCAAUGGAGUAUUUCUUAUACAGCUUAAUUGCUGUUGGUGUUAAUUUUAUGGGAUAAUUUCACAAACCUCCCCGAGAUUUUUAACAAUUACAAAUAGCUCUUCUCAGGUUUUAAAAAUUACAUAUACCUCCCCUACUUUUAAUGUUUAGUAACAAUGUAGGUCCAAUAAGAUAGAUUUUUUCACAAAAAUCCUAAAUUGCCCUUUUUUUUACAAAAUUAAGAAAGAAAAAUAUAGUAUAUUCAAUCAUUUUCUUCCAUACUUUACAUAAAUUAACAAGCUUAAUUCCUAACAACCAUCCAAGCAUAAGUUCUGAAAUCAAGUAGUUGUUCAAAAAAUCCUAAAUUACAGAAAAUAUCAAUACUUGCCACGUAAAAAAAAAAACACGCACACAAACCUAUUUGGCAAUCAGUUGUACCAAAAAUUAUAUAUCAAUACCUAAAUACCUUUUCAAUACAAGCUAAUCUGACCUAAAACCGUCAUUACAACCAUCUUAUAGUUUUAAAAUUAUUAAUAUCUCAAAAGUAGAGAAUAAAUUCUACCUCCAUAAUAAUCGUAAUAAAAAAUCUAAUCCAAUGAAAGAAAUCCAUAUAUAAUUAUUGACAUUUUAUAAAAAAAUUUUGUGACAACAAACAAAAAAUGACAAUUUUCACAUCUUUAGUUCUUUUUCCUAUCUCAAUCAUCAAUUUCAUUAUUUAUUUCUCUAUCGCUGUGAGUCUUUUCAUUUCCUUCUAAUUUGACACAUAAUCUCCUCUCUGUUGCUUUGUGAAUUUCAAUUUGCUAAUAUCCACAAAAUUGAAGAUAAUAAAAAGAUGUUAUUUUAAUUAGAAAAGAUAGGAGCGAAAAUAAACAAGAGACAGAAAAAUAGAAUUUUUUGGGUUUUGUAAAUUUAUUGCCUUAAAUUUAAAAUUGUCUAUCAAGUGGAGGGUAUUAUAGGUAUUUUACUAUGCUAAGGGAGGUAAGUAUAAUUUUUUAAACUUGAGGGGAGCCGAGUGAAAUUGUUAGAAAUCUCAAGGGAGGUUUCUGAAAUUAUCCCUAAUUUUAUUUAGCAUAGUUAAAUGAGGAGAGAGGGAGACAGCAAGGAGAGAUGACUCAGUCAAUAAAGAAAGGCAUUAAUGAAGAAGUAUCUCAAGAGCAUGCCACCUCUCCAUCAGUACUACUAACUAUUCUCUUUUGUUUGUUUUCUGAUUUUCUUACUCUUUUUGGUUUCUGUUGCUGGCGCUGCUGCUGCCUUCCUUGAACAUUUCUUUAAUUUUCCCAGUCCACGCCCCCCUCCUCAAACCUUUCAUCUAUCCCCUCCCUCCUUUUGUGUGCACCUUUCUCCCCUGAUUUCUCUUCAAUUAACAUUCCUCUCCUUUUGAAAUUUCCCAACACAAAUUACUUAGCAGCAAACUUCUCCUUUUCCUUUUUCCUUGAAAAUUUUUUUUUUUCCAGGAUUGAAGAGAACUUAAGUUGGAAGAAGAGAUGUUCGAAUGGUUACAAGCUGCAAUAGUGGCAGCAUGUAUAGUAGCUUUUGUGUUGAUAAUUGUGAUCAUCAAGAGAUGUUUCUGUUCCAAUAGAAAGCGUAGAGAAAUUCUUGGCGGAAAUGAAGAAACAGUGCCUCAGAGGUUGGAAUCAGGAACAGCAAAACUUCACCAUGUGAGUCUUCAUCAUCUUGAUCGAGAUGGAAGCAAGAGAACAAAUUAUUAUGUUUUCCGACGUGGGCUAUCUACAAGACCUUUUUUCAACUGGGCUGAUCAUCCUUCUCUUGUCACCGAUGCUGUUGAAAAUGGAUGGUCAAGAUUUGCUUUUACAACCUUUACACCAUCUCCCUCAGCUCGAUCAACAAGAUCCCUGUUAGGUCCGUGUGCAACUGGGGAUCACGACAGACAAAUGGAGGUGGAAAUCAGUUGGGAAGUUUGCCAAGGAUCAGCUGAUUUUCUGCAGAAAAUUAGACUUCAUUCUGGAUUAAAGAAAAUACCAAAUACGGCCAUCAAUUCUUCAAUGGUGGCUAAAUCUGCGAUCAGAACAGCUUUGCCUUUGCCUGGUCCACCAUUAGGAAAUUCAGCUUUUCCACAGGAAGCCUAUUUUGAAAUCAUAAUUUUACCUUUUGGUGAAGAUCAAAAUGACGUGGUUGGCAAGGCAAAAGGAGGUAGAUUAGACGGGGACAAAAUAAAACUCAUUCAAGAGGAUUUCAACGCAAAAGUCAGUCCUGAGACUUUAAUUAAUUUUCCAAGUGGCCAUGGUAACGGCAAUAGCAAGCUAGAGGAAAUGAAACUUGCUGGAAAACAGGAUGGAAAAACUGGAGCUGCUGUGCUGUCGAUUGGGCUUGCAGGAGGCGGCCCUCUUCCGCUUAAGCUUCCGGGAAGCUAUCCAGGAUCGAUUGGAUUCAAUUCUAAUGGUUCCAUUUUUCUUGAUGGUAAGUUUCUCAUUUGCUGUCUCGUGCAAUCUACACAAAUUACAAUGUCAGACACUGUUCUGCGGUCAAACUUUCGCUGUUCCAUGUAAAAGGUGGGGAUAUGGCAUUAAAAAAAGGAACAACAACCUAAUCAGCGCCGUUCUUUUUCGAACUGCACCAGCAAAUAGGCAUUCGAGUACAUGGAGAACAGUUAAAUAGCACCAUUUGCUUACACAACCAAAUGUGCCACUAUCUUCUGAAAAAAUCUAUAUUCUGCAUUGUCUGCACAUCACUAGUUUCAGGAUAGUCAUGAAAUCGGUUGUCAUUAUAUACCGUCGCAGAUAAAUGCGCCAUAUUGCUUAACCACCCAAUUAAAAGAUGCUCCACUUCGAUUUUAUAGAGAUAGCCUAAGGCAGAAAAAAUUAUGUUCAGAAUAUAGGUGUCAGAAAAGAGAAUAUAAUCGACUUAAACAUUAGAGAAGGGAACGAGGUCCACUCCUCAAGCUUAGGUGAUAAAAGAAAAUAUUGGUUACUAGUUGCAAAUAUUCGAUUUGAAGACGGUCGGUUCUUAUUUGUAGUUAUAGACGUUCUUAAGAAACUGACUAGGUUAGGACGAGAAAUUGACCCUUGCUUAUGCGCAAUACCAUUAAUUCAUAGUCUUUUGUUUUAUGUAUCCAGGUGUCAAACUUGUGUUCGAGUCUGAAAGGGAAGAAUGGGGAAGAGCAGACACAGUGAUUGGUUGUGGAUACAAUCCUAGCCAGAAAAAGGUUUUCUUCACGGUGGAUUCUCAGCUUGUGCAUGAAAUUCACUGUAAAUCCGAAGAAUUUGGAACUCCACUCUACCCAACAUUGGCAGCAAAUAGUGACAUUACAGUUCUUGUUAAUCUUGGACAAUGUGCCUUCAAAUAUUCACAAGCAAAUCUUCAAAGAACUCCGAAUCCUUGCUUCAUUGGCCCUCUUGCAAAUUCUCCGGUAUUGGGGUAUGAGGACAGCAGAGAGCUCUUUUCAAUGGGGAGAAUAGAUGCUCAGUGGUUAAACAGAAGUACGACAAGAAGCACCAGCACCCCUGGCAACAAUAUGAACAGAGGAGUAGAAUUUGAUGAAGAAUCUGAAGGUGAUUUAUUUGAAAUCGUCUUAGAUAGUUAUGGAAAAUCACCAAUCACGAACACAUCGUAGCGGCACACCCAUGAUUUUCGUCAGCCUUUCUUUGCCUGUUUCUCUUGUAAGCAUGGCAUUGUUGAAGUUGGAACAAGGCAGCCCUGCAGUGUGAAGUUGCUUGCUGAAUCCCUGAUCUUAUUAGAAGCCCAGCGACACUUACAAACUGCGCCUUGCAGAAACCAGGGAGAAAUUUUUGGCUCAAUACUCCUUGGAAACUGAGAUUUUGACUAGUUGUGAAGAUGUUUUGUAAAUAACAGAGUUGGUUAGAUUGUAAAAGUUUCUUGCUUUGGGUACAUAUUUUGGAAGAAUCAAACUUAAAAGAGAUUUGACAAAAUGCAUUUCGUUCGUAUAGGGGGUGGAGAGCUUGCUUUCAUUCUGCCCGUUGAUUGACUUUCAAGAAGCCAGAGUAUUUAAUCUGGGAUAUUAUUAGAACUGUUUACAUCCCUCAACUGUACUGUAGAUACUUCUGGGCUUUUAGCACCAUAUCUGCUGAAUUCAGUGAAUCAAUUUCUACUAUUUAGAUGCAUGAACCUUAGCGAUUCAUGGACAGGGUAUCAAAUGGUUGACCAAUAUAAUAUACAUCCCUUCCCUUCAAAUUGUAAUCUAUGUAUGGCUGUUAUCACUUCAAAAACAACCCAAGAUAAAAACAACUUUUUGUUUUGUUUAGGGCUGAAACUAGUACAACGAUUCAUAUUAUAAGCAACUAAAUAAAAAUAAGUAUUCUGCAGCUGACCAAAAAAAUAUGAGUAGUAUUCUACAGAUGACAUACAACCAAAUUUUUAUCUUGAUUCUACGCGUGGUGUCGGUUAGAUUGAAUCUGGCAGACUCCGAAUUUGAUUCGUAAUUAAGGCACCGGCAACAGGGCAUCGACUGCGUCAUGGAAUGGAGGUCAUGCUGGUAUAGGAAGAAAGAGAAUCUUGACCUUUCUAGUCAAUUAUUGGUUCAAGAAAUUUAGAAAUUAUACAAUAACACAAAAGUAUGUUUUAUUCACUUUGGCCUCUCUGAAGUGGCCAAACAUUUUAAUUAAAGCCACCAAAAGAGAAAUGCUUGAAUUUUGGCCUUCCGAAAGCGAAAAUUUGUUGAACUUUUUGCAUUUUUUUUUUAGUGUUUUAAUUACUAGUAUGUUUGUCGCAUGACUUCAUAGAAGCCCUUGGUUGAAGUGAUUAUGAUAUGUUGAAGACAUUGGAGGAAUGAAUUUAUGAAGACUCUUAUUCCCACUGUCUUGCAUAGAUUGGUCAAACAAACAAACGAACAAACAAAAAAGAGAAAAGUGCAAAAUAAAGUGAUUUCUAGUUGAAAACUUUUGCCUCUUAAUAUAAAUAUACAGUAGUAGAAUUCGAAGUCCAAAAACAGCCCUGGAAUUUUUCUCAAGUAAUCAUUAAGUCCUCUCUAGGGGGCAUCGCAAAGGAAUCUGGAACUAAAGUUGCAAAGUGGAACAAGUUUCUUAUUUGGGGAACCAAUGCAAACUCUUUCACUUUUGGGGAUUCAAUUGAACUGUUUGGCUAUUUUCGAAGGCAAAAACUGAAAUAAACGAGUUCUGCUCGAGCCCAAGCCCAUCAAAGUAGCAAACAAUUCGCAUGUCAAAUCGUGGCCUGGGCUCCUUAUCUGGUCCAAAGACAUGGUGAAUAAGCUUUCAUGCCCUGGGCUACCCGUUACUGCGAUCCGUAUCCUCUAGUCUGGAUUAGGCUUUGGUGCCGAAGUUAUGUUCUUUCAUUUUCAUUAACCCAUUUGUCAAAAUCACAGGAAUAAUCUGCCAAAUUAAAUGAUGAAUGUUUCAAAGUCCUAAACCCUUGCAUGCAUCGCAAUGACAAAUGUUACGACACAUGCAAUGUCCAAGUUUGGAUUACAUUACGCUCUACCAAACCUCUUGCAUUUUAGAUUACAGCCAAAACACUUGCUCCAGAGACUGAGAUCCUAUUUAAUAACCCAAUUCAACAUUUAAAUUUAAUGAAUUCAAAUCUUAACAUAUUCAGAUAGUUAGAUAACCAAAAAUUGAACAUCUAAAUUAAUUAAUUAGCACUUAAUUUCUUGGGUAAAACUUGCUCCAAAAAUUAAGUGAUAAGUUAUUCACUUUAUCACUAAAUGUGAUAUGCACUCAAAUGUAAUAGAUUAAUACUUAAUAAUUCAUAAUUUAAUGGAUUCAAAUUUCAAAUUUCAGUUUUAUCAAAUGCAUCAUAAGACGUAAUAAAAGCCAAAGCUUAUCACUUUAUUUAUUUUUUUAAAGUGAGAGGUGUUCAACUUAAGAUUUCUUAUUUGUAAUCUCUCUCACUUUAUCAUCCAAUCAAAUUUUUUCCUUUUUUCUUAAAAUUGUUUUCUGACAGGAGAAGAGAAGAGUGAGAUUCAAAAAACGAGAAGGCACAGGGGAUUAGAAUUUAGAACUCUUAUGUUCUGAGGCUGAAUAUUAACUACUAAACCAAGGCCACGAGUUGCUUGUUCCCAAUCACAUUGCUUGCUCCCAAUCACCCUGAAUAUUAACUACUAAACCAAGGCCUUCAAACCCAAAAAAUAAAAAAUUGCUUGUUGCCAAUCACAAUCCUUGCUGGAUUAGGAACAGAGGCUCCAAUCUUGCAAAACCAACUUGCCAAAUGGAACGGAUUUAUGAAAUGAUCCCUUGAAAAAGAUCUCAUUUCUCAUCAUGAGGAAUUUUUUUUUUUUUUUCUUCUAAAUUGCUUCUGUAAUCAAUUAGAAUUCGUUUGAACCAUUCAUCUCUUUUCUUGAUUUAAUUGGUAAAUCUCAAAACCUUAAAAUUUUUUGUAAACUUUUUGACUGAGUUAUAAUCUAAAAGAAAAUUUUUGGGAGAAGGAGAUCAAUGAAUGAUUCCUAUGUACUUAAAUUUUUUUUUUUCAUUGUUAGCUAAUUUUUCCAUCAGACUUGUACAAGUCGUUUUUUUUCCCAAAGGACUUGAACAAGUCUUAAUCAGAACAAAAGACAUCUUUAAAAAAUAAAAAAGAUAGGAGAAGGGAUAUUUGUUGUACGACGAUUCAAUCCGGAGUAUAAUAUAAGAAGUGUGUGUAAGGAGUUAGGAACAUUUUCUAGUGGGAUCCGAACUCUCGGAUGAUCCGUAGGAACAUUUUUCUAGAUUUUAUAAAUCAGUUUGUCUGUCUAACGGCUGUGUUAUAUUUUUAAAAAUAUAAAAUAAAUUAAAUAAAUUAAAAUAAAUAUAAGCGAGAGAGUAAGUAAAAAUUAAAUUAAAAAAAUAUAUAAAUAUUAACAAAAAUAAUUAUUAUUAACAUAUAUAUAUAUACACACGCAUGAUAGGUUAUAUAAAUAUCAGGUGUAUUAAUGCGUUAGAAAAAAUCCUUUAUAAAUUAACCCGUCAAGGUUAAAACAACGUAUAUUCAACGCGCACGUCUUCGUACGUGUUAUCUGACGAUGAUGUAGCUCACAUUGCAUGCGCAACAAAGCGACAAAGAGCGCCAAUUCCACUUCGUUUGUUGCGCCAGAAAAAUAAAAUGUGGAGGCUAUUCAGUAACAGUUAUUAGAGUCCUGACUCCGGACCAUUUCUACAGGCUAUUAAACGGCGUUGCCAGCUCCCUGUUGUUUGUCAGUGUCAGAACCACAGAGAAAAUUCAAGUCAAGUUCAUUUCAUUUCACAUCAUAACCUGUUAAAGUUCAACUCUUUUUUUUUAAAGUUCAAGUUAAAGUUCAACUCGGCAAGAACAAUUGUCGACCCUUCUCCAGCAGGACUACUGUCUUUGUUCCUCUCACCAUGGCUUCGGUGGACGCUGCCAAACUUCAUGCGCUAUUUCUCCCAUACUUCGCACCAAGCCAUAUGAUUCCUCUGGUUAAUGUUGCCAGGCUCUUUGCCGCCCAGGGCGUUAAGGUUACAAUCCUCACCAGCAAGUACAACGCGGUCUUGUUUCAAUCCUCCAUCGAUCAUGCCACUGGAUUAGGCCACGACAUCUCCGUCCACAACUUGAAAUUUCCAUCGGCUGAAUUGGGAAUACCUGAAGGAAUUGAGAACUUCAGCGCGGCCACCACAACGGAAAUUUUGUGGAAAGUAUACAUGGGCGUGAUGCAGCUCCAGACUGCAAUGGAAGAAUUUAUUGAAGAACUGAGUCCUCACUGUAUUAUCUCGGACAUGUUCUAUCCUUGGACAGUUGAUUUAGCCGAGAAGCUGAAGAUACCGAGAAUCUUGUUCUAUCCGAACAACUUCAUCUCUCACUGUUUGCCCCACAGCUUGCGGGAGUAUGAGCCUCAUAAGUCUGUUAAGUCAGAUUCUGAGAGGUUCUUGAUCCCUGGUUUACCAGACAGGAUCGAGAUGAAAAGGUCUCAACUGGAGGAUCACAUGAAGACCGAAACUCCGCUUGCUGAGUUGUCAAGGAAAGUAAGAGCAUCAGCGCUGAGGAGCUUUGGCUUGGCUUUUGACACCGUUUACGAGUUUGAACCUCAAUAUGCUGAUUACUUCGGAAAGGUGAAGGGGACAAAAUAUUGGACCAUUGGCCCUCUUUUCUACUUCUCCUACAAGGAGAAAACUGAUAAUUCUGCUGAUGGGAAGGGCGGUUGCUUAAACUGGCUCGAUACUCAGGCCCCCAACCGAGUCCUGUACGUUUCAUUCGGAAGUAUAGCGAAAUUCGGCGACGCACAACUGCAUGAAAUUGCAAUUGCUCUUGAGGCUUUGAACCAACCGUUUAUUUGGGUCGUCAGGAAGAGGGAAAGUAACCCCGAUGGUCAACAAGAAAGCUGGCUACCAGAUGGUUUUGAAGAAAGAAUAACCAAAGGAAACAAAGGUUUGAUCAUCAGGGGUUGGGCGCCUCAGUUAAAGAUCUUAAACCAUCCAGCAAUUGGAGGGUUUAUGACUCAUUGCGGUUGGAACUCAACGAUGGAAGCUAUGACUGCUGGAGUGCCAUUGAUUUCGUGGCCAUUGUUUGCUGAGCAGUUUUACAACGAGAAACUUCUUCUCGAGGUUCUAAAAGUAGGAGUCAGUGUUGGGGCAGAUCAUUAUCACGCAAGUCCGAUCAUAGAGGAUCCUUUGGUGGAAUCGGAACAUAUACAGGCAGCAAUAAACCGAUUGAUGAGCAGCUCUGAAGAAAGUCAGGAGAUCAGAGACAGGGCAAAGGAGAUGGCAGCGUUGGCAAAGAGGGCUGUGGAAGAAGGUGGAUCAUCCUAUCAAAAUCUGCUUGAUUUGAUUGAUGCAUUAAAAUCAUGUGCUUUUAGUGUCAAUAGUUAGUUAUCAUCAAUACUACUGGCUAUGAUCUUCGAAUAAAAAUUUUUGACGUGGCUGAAUACACAAGUACUCUUGUUGGCCAGUUCGCUAUUGAUGUCAACAGUUAGUUAUCCAUACUGCUACUAUGAUCUUCCCACGAAAAUUUUGUAAUUUGGCAGAAUGCAUGCAUAAUCAAGUUGGUCAGUUCGCUACUGAUCUUCAAAUUCGAUGUCAACUGUUAGUUAUCCGUUGCUACUACUGUGAUCCUCAAAUGAAAUUUUGUAAACUGGAAAAUGUGGGCAGAAUACUUGUAUAUUCAAGUGGGAAAAUGGGGCAGAAAGAAUGCAUACAUAUUCAAGUGGGUCGGUUCACUGUUGAUCUGCAGAUUUGAUGUCAACUGCAGUGAAGUCAUCUCUGGUAACUUGAAUCACCAUAAACUUGAAUGACAGAAGCUAGAACGCGCAAAAAACAAGAAACUCCGAGGCCCGUCAGGAAACAGUUGAUACCAUACUAUCUCUGGCAAACAAACAACUGAACAAGAAGCCGAUUCCGCACUCAAAUUUCAGAAUAAGAAGAAAUUAAUUUAAGCACGCAGCUAAUCGGUGGUGUUUGUUCUGAAAAGCUGAGAACGUUGUACUCAAUUACUGUUGCUUACUGUUUGGUGAAAGUGUCUUCGUCACCUGGAGAGUCUUACUUAUAGGAGCACUACUGGUUCUGUCUGUCUUGAACAAGACCCAGUGAAAUUGUACCGCUUUUCAUCAAAAAUUGAUCUGGAAAGCCGGCUUCCAAAGAUUAAUGAUAUUAAUAAGGGAACACUUACAUCAAGCAGAAAUUUAAUAGGCGACUAAUUACUAAACGCCAUGCCAUGUAACAUAAGUUAUAUACUGCCUGCGUCUCUCAUCGUCUUAAAACUUUGGGUUAAUUACAUUUACCUCCCCUGAGGUUUAACCAAAUUACCAUUUACUCCCUGAAAUUUAGACAAACUACAAAAAGGUCCCUCAAAUUGAAAGAUGUAUAACAGAUACACCCCUCCCGUUUGUCUGUUGCUGUUGACUGUUAAGAUUAUAAUGAUGCCAUCAUACAAAUUUAAUGAAAUGCCUAGAUUGCCCCUAAAUCCAUAACCUUCCCUUCCCUUCGUUGCUUUUCUUCAAAACCUAACCUACUCCAUUUACCACCGUUGACAUAACUAUGGCAGCAAAAUCAUCGAGAUAUAUUAUCGAUACCCACUUUCAUGAUCAUUUUCUUGGUGAGCAUGUUUUCACUGUCAAAAUCAUAAUAAAUUUAUAGAAAUUUAAUUGCCCUCAUCUCUAUUAUUCCCAUAACAACCAUCCUUUUAACUCUGUUAUAAGCAGAGAAAAAACCCAUUUGAUAAUAUCAAACCCAAUGACCAACUACAGAUAUAACCCAGAGUUGAAAAAAUGAUUAUUUGGAACUCUAAAUACCCGCAUGAAUCAAGUCAGAUCCUGGUUGAUAACCAUUAAUUCCUCACUGCCAAUUUGAGUGAGUUUGAGAUUUUACUCGUCUCUGGAUUGGUCGAUGUGAUUGUGGUAGUUGCAGAGAAGGGAAAUACAACAAACAAGAUUAUUGGCCGACAAAGGGUUACAGACUUGUAGAGACUCUUUUGUGGUGGAUUGAGUGAACCUUUACAUUGCUUCUAUAAAUUUUCUUUCAUCGCUCAAUUGUCGGUUUCCUUUUUUCACUCUACUUUUUUUUUCCAUUCCUUUCUUUGCUUUUCACAUUUUAAUUUCUUUUUUGUUUUCUAGGCUUUCCUUCUUUCUUCAAUUUCUUUCUUUUGUUCCUUUAUGCACAUAUUUUAUCAAAUUUGAGUAUUACAUGCUUGGUUUUAUUUUUUUCUUUUAUACUGGUUAAAAACUGUUUUAUUUAAGUAGCAAACUCUUAGUUUAAUUUGUUAUUAUUGAAACCACCUUCGAUUUUUUAACGGUAAGUUUUCUCUAACUACAAAUUUUUACAGAGAGGGUAAAUAUGACAUUUUACUACUUCUAUUUAAGUUAUGACAUUUUACUACUUCUAUUUAAGUAUCUUUGACGGGGUUACUUAAAAAGAAGGUACUUGUAAUAUUACCACACCACAGGCAUUUAAUGGUAGUUUGGUCAAACCACAAAGGAGGUAGAUGUAAUUAACCCUUAAAAAUUUGAUGGAAAUCAAUAAGGAUUAUUCAGACUUUUGGCUAUUUCCAUUACUUGUAAGUGACCGAAGUUAGUGUGGGGGAGGAAUCUGUUAUUUGGUCAAAUCUCAGGGAUCGAUUCGUUAUUUGGUCAAACCUCAAGGGAGGUAAAUGUAAUUAACCCUAAAACUUAACGCCAUGCCAGUUGUAUUUGAAUGCAACAUACAUGACACUUAUCUUGGCGUCCAUAUAUAUGAAAAGGAUUGCACCAGGACCAUAAUAUGAUUAUAAGACCACAGAACAAUAAUGCUGGCAUUCUCACUCUUACCAUAGCAAAGCACAAAGGAAUCCCAUCUACGCAAACCAAUAAAGUACACUUGAUUUUCAUAAAGACGAGAGGUUUCCAGUUUAAGAACAUCAAGCCAUGUGAUUCUUUCUUUAUUCUCACGCCACAUCAGUUCCAAAGCGGGGGAAAAAAAUUAAAGCUAAUGCCAUUACUUAAACUGAUAAACAGGAAGGUUGAGAAUAGGAACCUCAUCAUCACAAGAGAAAAAAGCCAUUUAUGGCCCUAACACCAGCAUAUUACCUAAAGCUUUUCCAUCCGAUACCAGAGUUUAAUACGUCACUACCAGACAUGACAUCUUGCAAUGACGUUUUAAAAUCAAAACCAAGACAACAUAUGCACACCUCCAAAAGACAGUUGAAUGGGCACCAAAUUCUAAUGACGGGUCCAAGUGAAAGAUAGAACAUGUACAAAACAGCUGACUAACAUUACAAGUUGCUGAAAAUCA